rnacentral:lncRNA from 1 species
AGAAAAGGUGGACAAGUUCCGUCUUAAUACUUGUAAUUUCACACUAAAUCAUUAAACUACAACAAUGAUUUUAAACCAUGAGUAACAAAAGCAAACCACUACUAUUAAAAUUGGUGUUGAUAUAAAGUAUACUAUAAUAAAUAGGAUAAUAACAGAAUAUAUGAAAGGAAAAUGCUGAAAUUUACGAAUGUAACAAGCAAGAAAUGCAAGAAUUGAAGAACACACGGAUGGAUCACAUGUUAUAUACUAACCCCCCAAAUUGGAAUAAUGGAGAAAGAGGGGAAACAGGAUGCAUUCAUUGCUUCAUGAUCCCUUGAUCACUCCAAUUAUUAUUAUUUAUUUAUUUUUGUGAAACACGAUCCCACUCUCCUUUACUGUUUUAUUUUGCUCCUCUUUUUUAUUUUUUUCAAAAAUAAUUCGAAAUAGGAAGCAAUUAGGGAUCUCUAAGAAAAAACAAUUGGGGAAGGGAUUCAUCGAGCAUAACCAUUUCCCUCAAUCACACUUCCACCGCAGAAGAUUUGAUUCUUGAGAGAGAGAGAGAGAGAAUGGUAAAGAUGCCAACACAGAAAACUUUUCUCUCUUUCAACUGCAGUUACGAGAGAAAUUCUAGUUUUGGUGGUGGAGUAUAUAGCAUGUGUUGCCAACGUGCAUUCUUGCAUGAUUCAACAAACAAACAACAUAAACGAGAUUAAAUAACAAAUACAAAAUACUGAGAGAAAAGAUGAAACAUAGCAAAAACAAACAACAUAAAAGAGAUUAAAUAACAAAUACAAAAAUCCAAAAUACUGAAAACAAAACAUAGCAAGAGAACAAAAUGUACACAAGAAAGUCCAAACAAACAUACCGUGAACAAGCCUAAAACCACAUAAACCACAAACCAAUACACAAGCUUUUAAAAAAGCAACAGGUCAACUCAAGUAAACAAACAAUAUUGAUUUUCUAGGGAUUAUGAGUUAAGUCAAUUGAAACAUGUGGUUAAGAGAAUAAAGUGGGAUAUACAUAGCCAAAAAAAUAAUUUCUGAUCUGAGGUGUCUCUUUAUUCAAAAGAGAAUGGUCUAAAGUCCCUAUUUUAAUGGGUUGACCAGCUAGUAAAUAGGUAAAACAAGUAAUAUUAUAGAUAUAAAAAAGAGAACUGUUGUUUGGUACGGGAUUUUUCCAUACGAAAUUUCACGGACACGUGAUAAACUUAUUUUCCACGCGCAUAAAUGGAAGCAAACUUGAAAAGAAACUGUUACACGCGUCCGUCCGUGAAAUUCCAUAUGCUGCUAUCCGUACCAUUAAGCAUUUCUCUAUAAAAAACAAAAAAGAAGGUGCUAUAUCAACCCGAUUCUUUUACAAUGAAACCAUAGCGAAUAAUGUGUGAGGAAAUUUUUGUUGCUUUUUUUUCUCCUUUCAUUUUUUCGCCUUAGUAUUAUUAUUUAUUACUAUAUAGUUACAACAGAUAAGUUUUCUUUAUUUACUUGGAAAGUAUUGACAAAUGUUGAGUUGCAUACUCAUAAAUAUCUCAUGAUAAUGAUUCAUUUUUCAAUCAAACUAUACACUAAAUGUUUAAGAAUCCAGUUUAAUCUUCACUCAUUAAAAAUUGAUUAAAUUGUAACAUGAGUUUAAUUAAAAUACUCUGACCGCGUAGAAAAUUAUACACUAUCAACCAAUUAAAAUUAUUUUUUGACGUAAUACAUGCCUUAUCAUAUCUACAUUGGCUUUUUCGAAGAUCUUGAGUAAUUGGUGUAGAUUUAAGGAAAACUAUCGAAAUUCAGUUUUGGAUUUUCAUCUGUGAAGUCAUAUUUUCAUUUUUCUUUAAGUUAGUCACAUUGAGAACUUUCUUACUUAAUGUUGUUUGCGUCAAUUCUCAACUAAUUUCUUCACAUAUACAACAUGAGUAAAACCAAAUUAAAUCAUAAUCUUUAGCAAACAAUGAGUUUAAUAUCAGACCAAAGAUGAUGGAAAUGUGAAACAAAUGGAAGACACUCCAACUAAGUUGGAAUGUCUUACAGAUUCUAGUCCUUGUCAUUUGCUCAUAUAUAUUAUUUAAAAAAUGAAAAAGAAAUACAAGAAAAAAACUGGGGGACAUAAACCUAACCCAGUAAACCACACAAAAGUGUAGGUCGACCCAAGCGGGAAAAACAAAAAAUUAUACAACACAAGUGGAUAAGUCUGCCUCUAAUUAAUCCUAAAGUUAAACAAAGGUCUUAUGUGCGGUGAUUGGACCGUCCGUCAACACGAAAGCAGGUCCAUGUACCAUCAACUAUCUUUCGAACCCCACAGUCCAAGUCAAAUAGCAGAUGGCGAUUUUCACAUACAAAAACCAACAAGAGCAAAGAAAAGAAUAUAUGUAAUUAACAAUAUAUAUAUAUAUAUAUAUAUAUAUAUAUAUAUAUAUAUAUAUAUAUAUAUAUAUAUAUAAUACAUUCAUUUAGUGGAACUUGAGACUGGUCAAGAUGUUGUUGUUUGAAGGGUCAGCCAAAUGAUUUAAGAAGUUUUGGUAUGGUCCAACUCUUGUAACUAGAGCUUGAACAAAGUAACCCAAUAUUGCCAACAUAGCUAACCUUCCAUUCUUAACUUCCUUCAGCUUUAAAUCCUUCAAUGAUUUCUCAUCUUUACCAAAACCAAGAGGGUUAAAUAUAGGUCCACCAGGGUAUGCUGGUUCACCGGAACCGCCAAGACCUUUCUCAAGUCCUAAAAAGUAUUGUUUUCCCAUAGAUCAUUUUUUGUUCUUUACCAAAAUAUUAGCAUCCAUUCAUACAUAGCAUAAUCUUUGCCUGCAUAAAAUGCUCUUCAAGGCGAUCUCAUCGUUUGAAAUUCACAAGAUUCUCUUCUUGUUCUAUGUGAAAAUCUGGUCGAUUUCCAAAAUUUGACUGAUAAUGGGCAUGAUCUCCAACCUGUUGUAGUUAUUCAACUAUGAGAAUCCUUCUUCGACGUUUUGAAUUAACCUAUAAACCACAUUAACAUAUUACUGUUCCAUCUACGCAUUUCAUCUAAUUCAACUGUUGAAUCUUAUAUCAAAAUCAUGUACUUUAUAUCUUCUUUAUUGUAUUUACCAUUGUUAUAAGUAUGAAAAGAUGAGUAUAAGUAUUGUAAAUGAUUGGAUCCAUUAAAUUGGAACUAUGACAUACCGCUCCAUAAUGUUUGAUCAUCCGAAGGUAGAAAUGAUUUUCUUAAUUCCUUUCUUGCCCAUUUUGAAUUUUAUAUCUUCGAUGUUUCUCCAUACAUUUACCCUUCCUCAUUUAGUUAAUUACUAGUUUGCCAUUAGUCAGGGAGAUUGAUUAGAUUUUAGGAUACUCUUUCUCUCAUAUAAUUCUCUAAUAAUCCACCUUUUUCUUCAUUUGGUAUAAAACAAGAGUUAGGAUCUAUUAAUAGGUGUCCACGUAUUCGUUAACACCAAAUCUCAAGCGUUUAUUUUAUUUAAUUAAAGAAUAAUUUUUUUUGGUCUUAAUCAAAGGAUAAUUUUAGUGUCAUAUUUAUCUUUAUUGUGUAUCCUUUCUUGUGAUCACACACUAUUAUUGUAUUCAAUGAUUUCUAUAAAAUUAAAAUACUCUUCUUUUUUAUAGCAAAACAACUUUUUGGAUCUCUGGAAUUUCACUUAUCGACUACAAUCAUUUUAUGAACUGUUUGAUCCACGUAAGAGAGAAACAAGUUGAUCCAAAUGUUGACAACGUGAUCUCUUUCCUUCACUUUCAAUGGCACACAUCGAAGAAUCUACGACCAUAGUUUGAUUGUCUUUCUAUCACUCAAAUCCAAUAUUUGAUCCCAAUUUCGUAUAUCCCAUAUUUCUUGCCACCCCAGUAAAACUUAGAUUUAACUAUUUAAUUGAAUAGAAUGGUGGAAUCUCGGGACAAUAAUAAUAGUAAUAAUACAAAUUAUCAUUUUUUGCAACCGAAUAUUGAAUUGAUUGUGGCUACUGCACCAUACCAUCGGUACAUAAGAAUCUGAAUUGUUGUUGGUCGUGGAUUCACUACAUUAAAUUGUUAAUCAUUAUAAAAUAUAAUUGAGUAAUUCAUUUGAAAGAUAUGUCGUAGAAAAUUGAACACUUAACAUAAACAAAAUUUUGGAAUGAUAGAGAGAAAGAGACAUUUGAGUUGACUUUUGAGUUGCCACCGUAAGAUUGUUGAGCACAUUUUAAAACGGUAACUAAUUUGCGAGUCACCUCAUGUUAGCAAUUUAGGAAAUAAACAUGUGCCAUUAUUAAUUAAAUGGACUUAUUAGAUUUAGUGUUAACGAAUUUGUUGAUACCUGAUGUCAACUCGUUGACACCAAAUAUUAAUCCAUCGUUAAUGUCCCCAUAAGUUACUAUUCUUACUAUUUUCACAUUCUUCAAAUAAAUUACACAACAUUGGCAUGUCUAAGGUUAUUCGUCAAUUAAAAUACUUUUCGGGAGUAAUAGGCAAUUGGACACUCAAUUAGGGGAAAAGGUACGAGGUUUAAAAGUUAUUGCGCAGUUUACGGCUCUACCCAGGUUGUGUAGUUCGGUUACCGUAGAUGUGAAACCGGGUACACAUAAAAAAAUUUGUGUUAUCUAAACAACUAGUGGCCAUGUGUUAAAGGUCAUUUUUUUCCAGCUUAAAAAUGAGCCGUUUCCUGCACCACAACUUAUUGGAACUGCUUGUUACUUCCAAAUUCAAAGGUUUACGGUUCAACAACUUGGCAAAUCAACCAAAUAACAUGACACAACAUGUAUAAUUUCAUGGGGAAGCUAAACAUACAGAGUCGUGUCUAUAAUUUCAUAGGUUUCUCACAACAACUUAUCCAGUAGUUAAACUAAUUAAGCUAUUUUUUCUAACAUCAGCUUAUUCAUUAACUAACUAGUUAAGCUAUUUUCUAACAGCAGCUUAUUCAUUAAUUAACUAAUUAAGCUAGUUCUAACAGCAGCUCAUUCACUUGUUCAAAAAAAAAACAGCAGCUCAUUCAUUAAUUACUAGUUAAGCUAUUUUCUAACAACAGCUUAUUCAUUAAUUAAUACAAUAUAAUUAAAGAAGAUCCUUUCGAUGAAAAUGGAGAUGGUGGAAUAGUGCCUGAGGCGACCGAAACAGUGCCAAAAACUAUUUAUUAUACAUGGAGAAAUUGUUCAUGUUAAGAUGUUUUCUACUAUUAGACUAUCACAUUGUUUCAGUUCUACAAAAUAUUCAACCCUCUUCACCUAAAACAAUUUGGAGAGGAUGACAUCGACUAAAAUUUUAAAAAUAACUAAAAUGCACAACAGAAGUUGACAUUGGUUAAAUUAAACUACCAUGCACUUGACAAGUUUUCGUUCAUAAAAAAUAAAAAUUAAUUCAAAUGUACAGGAUAAGUUGUCAUGAUUAAACUAACUUUGCUACGUUGGACAAGUUGUCAUUUAUAAAAAAUUGUUCUUGCUAAAAUGUUUCUACUAUUUAGAAUAUCACCUCACUUCAAUUCUACAAAGAUAUCGAACCUUCAUCAACUAAAAUGAACGGCAUAAGUUGGUAUUGACUAAAGUUUUAGAAAUAACUAAAAAUGGGAAAAAUUGAUACAGAUUAAAAAGAACUAUCAUGCCCCCUAAAAAAAUAGAAUUAUCGUGAAUGAGGCAAGUUUCAUUAAUAAAAUACAGAAGAAAAGUUGGCAUUGAUUAAAUUAAAUGAUCAUGCACUUGACAAGUUUUCACUAAUAAAAUUUCAUAACUAACUCGAAUUUACAUGAUAAGUUUUCUCUUAUUAAACUAACUUUGAUACAUGAGCCAAGUUAUUAUUGAUAUAAAAAAAAUAAAAUUGUUCUGCUAAAACAUUUAUAUACUAUUUAGAAUAUCAUCUCACUUUAAUUCUACAAUAAUAUUGAAUCCUCAUCAACUAAAAUAUACGGGAUAAGUGAAUACCGACUAAAAUUUCAGAAAUAACUAAAAAAAAUGGAUGAUUAAAUAGAACUAUCACAUUAAUAAAAAUUCACAAAUAACUCAAGUGCACCGAAAUUUCUAAUAUAUUGCAUGAGUUGUCGCUGGUACAAUUUUAAAAAAUAAUUAUUAAACACGGGUCAUAUUAUCGCUGAUAUUGAUUUUAAAAUAACCAUUAUGCACUAUACAAGUUGCCAAUGGUAAAUUUUUUAAAAUAAUUAUUAUAAACAAUACAAGUUACUAUUUAUUUUUUUAAAAGUCACAUAUAAACAAAUUGUCUAAUACAAAUCAUUCACACCAACAAGAUUAAUAUUUGUGACUGAUAAAUAUAAACAAAUCAUUGAAGAGGAUUUGUGAUUGAUAAAUUUAAAUAAAAAACACGACUAAAAUUUGUGACCGAUAAAGAUAAAAGAAUAUGAGAUCAAAAUUUGUCACUCAUAAAUAUAAAAGAACACGAGACCAAUUAUUUUAUGAAAUGAAUAUAAUUAAAGCAUGAAAAUAAAGUCACAUAUGAAUAAAUUUUUAACUGAAAUAAAUCAUUCAUACCAACAAGUAGUGGUACGGUGGCACGAGUAUCUAUCUUACUAGUUAGUUAAGCAAAACAAAGGGGAUCUUGUAUUAUGAUCAUAAAAGAAACUAAACACAAUUGCAUCGAAUCAAACCUUAGCAAAAUAUACUAAAUGCCAACGAUAAGUCUAAAUCUUUUUAUAUCUUAUAUAUAACUCUCAUUGGGUUUAUCCAAAGGCUGAGAAUUGGAAGUUAAGAUCCUCUUCAUUUAUAAUUCUCUUAGUGGUAUGACCAAUUUACGAAUGUAACAAGCAAGAAAUGCAAGAACUGAAGAACACACGGAUGGAUCACAUGUUAUAUACUAACCCCCCAAAUUGGAAUAAUGGAGAAAGAGGGGAAACAGGAUGCAUUCAUUGCUUCAUGAUCCCUUGAUCACUCCAAUUAUUAUUAUUUAUUUAUUUUUGUGAAACACGAUCCCACUCUCCUUUACUGUUUUAUUUUGCUCCUCUUUUUUAUUUUUUUCAAAAAUAAUUCGAAAUAGGAAGCAAUUAGGGAUCUCUAAGAAAAAACAAUUGGGGAAGGGAUUCAUCGAGCAUAACCAUUUCCCUCAAUCACACUUCCACCGCAGAAGAUUUGAUUCUUGAGAGAGAGAGAGAGAGAGAGAAUGGUAAAGAUGCCAACACAUAAAACUUUUCUCUCUUUCAACUGCAGUUACGAGAGAAAUUCUAGUUUUGGUGGUGGAGUAUAUAGCAUGUGUUGCCAACGUGCAUUCUUGCAUGAUUCAACAAACAAACAACAUAAACGAGAUUAAAUAACAAAUACAAAAUACUGAGAGAAAAGAUGAAACAUAGCAAAAACAAACAACAUAAAAGAGAUUAAAUAACAAAUACAAAAAUCCAAAAUACUGAAAACAAAACAUAGCAAGAGAACAAAAUGUACACAAGAAAGUCCAAACAAACAUACCGUGAACAAGCCUAAAACCACAUAAACCACAAACCAAUACACAAGCUUUUAAAAAAGCAACAGGUCAACUCAAGUAAACAAACAAUAUUGAUUUUCUAGGGAUUAUGAGUUAAGUCAAUUGAAACAUGUGGUUAAGAGAAUAAAGUGGGAUAUACAUAGCCAAAAAAAUAAUUUCUGAUCUGAGGUGUCUCUUUAUUCAAAAGAGAAUGGUCUAAAGUCCCUAUUUUAAUGGGUUGACCAGCUAGUAAAUAGGUAAAACAAGUAAUAUUAUAGAUAUAAAAAAGAGAACUGUUGUUUGGUACGGGAUUUUUCCAUACGAAAUUUCACGGACACGUGAUAAACUUAUUUUCCACGCGCAUAAAUGGAAGCAAACUUGAAAAGAAACUGUUACACGCGUCCGUCCGUGAAAUUUCAUAUGCUGCUAUCCGUACCAUUAAGCAUUUCUCUAUAAAAAACAAAAAAGAAGGUGCUAUAUCAACCCGAUUCUUUUACAAUGAAACCAUAGCGAAUAAUGUGUGAGGAAAUUUUUGUUGCUUUUUUUUCUCCUUUCAUUUUUUCGCCUUAGUAUUAUUAUUUAUUACUAUAUAGUUACAACAGAUAAGUUUUCUUUAUUUACUUGGAAAGUAUUGACAAAUGUUGAGUUGCAUACUCAUAAAUAUCUCAUGAUAAUGAUUCAUUUUUCAAUCAAACUAUACACUAAAUGUUUAAGAAUCCAGUUUAAUCUUCACUCAUUAAAAAUUGAUUAAAUUGUAACAUGAGUUUAAUUAAAAUACUCUGACCGCGUAGAAAAUUAUACACUAUCAACCAAUUAAAAUUAUUUUUUGACGUAAUACAUGCCUUAUCAUAUCUACAUUGGCUUUUUCGAAGAUCUUGAGUAAUUGGUGUAGAUUUAAGGAAAACUAUCGAAAUUCAGUUUUGGAUUUUCAUCUGUGAAGUCAUAUUUUCAUUUUUCUUUAAGUUAGUCACAUUGAGAACUUUCUUACUUAAUGUUGUUUGCGUCAAUUCUCAACUAAUUUCUUCACAUAUACAACAUGAGUAAAACCAAAUUAAAUCAUAAUCUUUAGCAAACAAUGAGUUUAAUAUCAGACCAAAGAUGAUGGAAAUGUGAAACAAAUGGAAGACACUCCAACUAAGUUGGAAUGUCUUACAGAUUCUAGUCCUUGUCAUUUGCUCAUAUAUAUUAUUUAAAAAAUGAAAAAGAAAUACAAGAAAAAAACUGGGGGACAUAAACCUAACCCAGUAAACCACACAAAAGUGUAGGUCGACCCAAGCGGGAAAAACAAAAAAUUAUACAACACAAGUGGAUAAGUCUGCCUCUAAUUAAUCCUAAAGUUAAACAAAGGUCUUAUGUGCGGUGAUUGGACCGUCCGUCAACACGAAAGCAGGUCCAUGUACCAUCAACUAUCUUUCGAGCCCCACAGUCCAAGUCAAAUAGCAGAUGGCGAUUUUCACAUACAAAAACCAACAAGAGCAAAGAAAAGAAUAUAUGUAAUUAACAACAUAUAUAUAUAUAUAUAUAUAUAUAUAUAUAUAUAUAUAUAUAUAUAUAUAUAUAUAUAUAUAUAUAUAAUACAUUCAUUUAGUGGAACUUGAGACUGGUCAAGAUGUUGUUGUUUGAAGGGUCAGCAUUACUAGAUGAAUUACUAUUGAUCAUUAAUCAGUAAUCAACAAUUUAAAAAUGAAUCAAACAUUAAGAUCAAAAUUAACUUUUCCAAAAAAGUCAAUUUCCUGACUGCACCAUAGAAGCUCCCAUAACUAAAUUGUAAGUUUUAUUUAUUUAUUUCGAAAGCAUUGACAAAUGUUGAGUAUACUCACAAAUAUGAUUCAUUUUCCAAACAAACUUAUACACUAGAUGUUUGUUAAGAAUUAAUUUUAAUUUUCACUACAUUAAAUUGCAACAAAGAAGUUUUUUUUUUUGACAAUAAACAAUAGCUUAACAUUUCAUAAAAUAGAGAGAGUUACAAGCAGCUAGAGUUAACUUUGAAAGGGUAUUCCCCAACAAUUUUGAAGAGCCAAUACAAUAGAAAAAACCUAUUAAAACAGGAUUUGCGUACACCUAAACUUUGAAUACAAAUAUGAGAACUUAAACCAAAUUCCAUAAGCUAGCAACUCAUUCAUCAACAACUUCCAUCUUCUAAUGCUGACAAAGGAGAUGUGAGAAUUCAGAGUCUUUUUUUCUAUCCAAUUACGGAUCAUUUCUUCUGCCUCAUCACGCACAUUUCGACUACACAUGGUCUCAGAUUUGUUCACUUUGUCGCUGGACAAAAAUCAGUUGAUAAAUGGCAAAGUUAGUGAACCUAGAUUCAUCCUCAUAUAGGCCAACAAACCUUGUGUGAUACCUACGAUCCAAACUCCAUUUAGGCAACGGCAUAAAACUAACUAAACUUAAAAACAUUACAUGAACCAAGAAACACAGCACAACAUAAAUAACAUACAAAAACAAUAACACCAAACACGCCAUAGAUAAAGCAGCACUCCAGCAGAGCAUCCAUGGAGGUUUCGGCGGCAGACGAUUGAAACGCAACCCUCGAAGCAGGACAACCUUCAAAGUUGUUCGAAAUUCUUCGGGAGGCUUUCGCGGCGGCCAUACAAGGCUGGGCAGCGAUGGUGGAUAGGAUGCCGAGACAAGUUUCAAAAUAGACGGCGAUGGCAGAUCCGGUAGACCAAAGUGGAGGAUCUGUUUCACAUAAGGUGGGGGACGCUCGGUCGGUCGAGACAGAGAUUGUGUUUCGAGCAAAAGAGAAAGAUCAUGUAAAUGAAGAGGUGGGGCAAGCAAAAGAUGUGAUGGUGGUGACAUAUAUGGUAAGGAGGAUGGAAUUUGGAUUGGGAGGGGCAAGCAAGUAACAAAAGGAACCUUUCAUGAGAAAGGGAAAACUUCCAUUAAGGAAGGGGUGCAACAAAGAAGUUAACACACAAAGAUGCUGAAUUAUUCUAGUUCUUGUAAAUGUCAUUUCUUACAAGGCCACAUCAUGAAACAUGCUCACAGGAUGCUAAGACAAGAAAGUGAAGAAAAGGUGGUUGAGUUUUUUUGGUAAUAAUUAUAACUUACAACAACCAACAAGAGCAAAGAAAAUAAAGGAGCAUAUAUAUAAUACAUUCAUUUAGUGGAACUUGAGACUGGUCAAGAUGUUGUUGUUGACAGGGUCAGCCAAAUGAUCUAAGAGGUUUUGGUAUGGUCCAACUCCUGUAACAAGAGCUUGAAUAAAGUAACCCAAUAUUGCCAACAUUGCUAACCUUCCAUUCUUAACUUCCUUCAGCUUUAAUUCUUUCAAUGAUUUCUCAUCUUUACCAAAACCAAGAGGGUUAAAUAUAGGUCCACCAGGGUAUGCUGGUUCGCCGGAACCUCCAAGCCCUUUCUCAAGUCCUAAGAAGUAUUGUUUUCCCAUGGAACCAGGAUUGUACCAAUCUUGGAGUCUUCUGUGUUCUGCAAAUCCCAUGAAUGCCAUUUCCAUCACAAAGAGUGUGUAAUUGUCUGCCCAGUAGUUGUAUGUUCCUGCUGGUGGAAUCACGCCGGUUUGGAACCAAGGGAGUGCUGUUUCCGCGGGAAUUAAACCUGCUUUGCCGAGAAUUUCAGGUGCUAUAGCUCCUGCUGCUCCCAACAUUGCGAAGCGGCCGUUGAUUAUCUCGCCGUAUGCUAACCAUUCUGGCUCAAUGAAUCCACCGACUCCUUCAGGAUCUGAAAGUCCUAGAGGGUCAAAUCCAAAGUCACCAGGAAGGCUGCAAGUGAUGAUGAGGCCAAAUAAAGUCAAUUUCAUACUUGACACAUAGUGUUACUCAACAAAGUUGCAUGCAUAUCUACAUGUUGUAUAGUUGUAAUAUGGGUGCUUUGUUAUCCAAGCAUCCGAGCUUAUAUUAACACAAUCACUUGUCUAAAUAUUUGGAUGAAACUAUAAAAAUAACUUUAAAUGUGUCCACAAGCUGUCUUUAGAUUAUUUCGAUAGGUUUUGUAUAAUAAUUAUUAAAAUAAAUAGUUUAAUCAUUUCCUCUACAACUAUAAAAUUAGAUUAAGCAAAAUCAUAAACGAUAAAUGAUAUAAUAAGUGCUUAAUCAAAAAAAAUUCUCAAAAGCCUUCUAGGGUCUUAGAGUCACAAAACAUCUACCAUACAAAGUUACCACAAGUAAUAUAAAAAAAUAUAUUGUUACUCAAACAAGUGUUAUCCAACAAAGUUGCAUAUCUAAUCUGAGCUUAUGCCUCAACACAAGCACUUGCAUAAGUAAUUUAUUGAGAUUGUAAAAUUAACUUAAAAAUAUUUCAUAAUUACAUUGUCUUUAACUUAUUUCAAUAUGUUUUUUAGAAUAAUUUAUGAAAACAACUUCUAACAUGUAUGAACAACAAGUAACUUGUAUAGAAAAGUUCAAUAGUUUCAUCUUUAACUAUGAAAGUAGAUUAUCCGUAAUCAUAAACGAUAAUAAACACUUGAUUAAACUGUUUACUUAGGCAUACUCAAGAUUCUUAAAUCUUACUCACAAAACAUCCACCUUACAACAGUUUUUUGUUCAACUACUUAGGAAUUUACCUGCCAUCCAAGUAAGAAAGACUUUGCUUUGAUGCAAACCACAAUUGUCUAUUUGCACCACCUUUCUGAACACCAAAAAGAGAAAAGAAAGUUAUUUUUAGUAUAAACAUAGUUCAGAGCACAUGCAUACUUGUCAAAGAGGCGUUAGUUCAGUGGUUAGAGUUGACUUUGUAACCUCAAGAGACAUAGAAAGAAUCGGUUGUAAUAUGGUCAUCUGAGACACUAUUAUUAAUAAAAAGCAAACAUAUAAUUAAGAAAAAUUUGAGUGAGAGAUAAACCUUGACAGGAGCAGCUGCCUUGACAACAAAGGAUCCUUUUCUAGAAGACCCAAUUGAAGAUGGGAGUGAUCUUGCUCCAAAACUCUGUCUUACAGCUUCAGCUGCAAAAGUAAGAGAUGACGACGACAAUAGAACUUGUGUAGCCAUGUUUUUCCCUUCUUUGUUGCCUCUAGGAACAAGUUUUUUCUUCUUCAAGAAUGUAGUAGAUGGUUAAGAAUGAAUGAUAGAUAAAUGGAGGAAGAUAUGAAGAACUCUAAGUCACUACUUUCAAGUUUGUGCAUGCAAGCAACGUGGAAGUUCUUGUGGAAGACUGCAUGUGAUGAUGAUGUCAAAUAAAGUUAAUUUCACCCUUGACACACAGUGAAAUAUUUUCAUCUAUAAUAGAUUAUACUCUUAUAAAGAUAGUGAUAGUUUCAUCUCGUAGUACAUAAAUUGCUUUUAUAAGAUAUACUCCCUCCGUUUUAAAAUGAGUGUGUUUUAGCCAAUUGCACACAGAUUAAAGAAUGAAAUGAAAUAAUCAUUAGACAUAACACUUAUACUAAACUGCCCUUACUUUAUAAGAAAUAGACAAACUUAAAGUUGCAUUGAAAAUUGUGUGAGAAAACAGUUGAAGAGGAUAAAGUUGAAAGAAAAAAAUUAAAGUUAUAUUGGAAAUGUAAAGUGACAUUCAUUUUAAAAUAAAUGUAGCAUUUUUAUUGUUCAAGAUGUUUUGAUUGGUGGGACUAUUUCGUGAAACGCUCACGAUAUUGUAUAAUCUGCUCUAAAUAGCAUUUCUUAUAUAUAUAUAUAUAUAUAUAAAAAGACCAUUGCUAUUGCUCCCGAGAGAGGGAUCACUGACAGGUUUACAACUAUAUAAUUAUGUUAUUGCCACAAAACACGGAAGGACAUUGUUAUAAUUAAGAAAAUAUAUUAAGUGCUGCAAUAGCCCUUUCUUGAAAAUUUCGCUACAUCACAUGUCGAAUAAUUAGCAUUAUUGUACAAAAAAAGGCUAAUGCUGGAUAUAGCAGCGAACCCGUAAAUCGUGAUGGAUUCAUAAACGAUUUGGCAGAUUUGUGUUCAAAUUUAGUUGACUUCUGCUUCAUCAAAAUAUAUAUAUAUAUAUAUAUAGGACCGGCACCAGUGAUAAAUUCCUUCUAGAUAUAUAACAUUACUUUAAAAAAAACACCAUGACUUGCAUUAAUUUUUUUCCAAUUCAAAAUAAAAGAUAUGCCAAGUAAAAUGGAGUUUUAUCUUUAUUUAUUUCGAAAGCAUUGACAAAUGUUGAGUAUACUCGCAAAUAUGAUUCAUUUUCCAAUCAAACUUAUACACUAAAUGUUUGUUAAGAAUUCAUUUUAAUUUUCACUACAUUAAAAGUUGAUUAAAUUGCAACAAAGAAGUUAACACACAAAGAUGCUGAAUAUUUCUAGUUCUUGUAAAUGUCAUUUCUUACAAGGCCACAUCAUGAAACAUGCUCACAAGAUGCUAAGACAAGAAAGUGAAGAAAAGGUGGUUGAGUUUUUUUGGUAAUAAUUAUAACUUACAACAACCAACAAGAGCAAAGAAAAUAAAGGAGCAUAUAUAUAAUACAUUCAUUUAGUGGAACUUGAGACUGGUCAAGAUGUUGUUGUUGACAGGGUCAGCCAAAUGAUCUAAGAGGUUUUGGUAUGGUCCAACUCCUGUAACAAGAGCUUGAAUAAAGUAACCCAAUAUUGCCAACAUUGCUAACCUUCCAUUCUUAACUUCCUUCAGCUUUAAUUCCUUCAAUGAUUUCUCAUCUUUACCAAAACCAAGAGGGUUAAAUAUAGGUCCACCAGGGUAUGCUGGUUCGCCGGAACCUCCAAGCCCUUUCUCAAGUCCUAAGAAGUAUUGUUUUCCCAUGGAGCCAGGAUUGUACCAAUCUUGGAAUCUUCUGUGUUCUGCAAAUCCCAUGAAUGCCAUUUCCAUCACAAAGAGUGUGUAAUUGUCUGCCCAGUAGUUGUAUGUUCCCGCUGGUGGAAUCACGCCGGUUUGGAACCAAGGGAGUGCUGUUUCCGCGGGAAUUAAACCUGCUUUGCCAAGAAUUUCAGGUGCUAUAGCUCCGGCUGCUCCCAACAUUGCAAAUCGGCCGUUGAUUAUCUCACCGUAUGCUAACCAUCUUGGUUCAAUGAAUCCACCGGUUCCUUCGGGAUCUGAAAGUCCUAGAGGGUCAAAUCCAAAGUCACCCGGAAGGCUGCAAGUGAUGAUGAGGCCAAAUAAAGUCAAUUUCAUACUUGACACAUAGUGUUACUCAACAAAGUUGCAUGCAUAUCUACAUGUUGUAUAGUUGUGUUAUGGGUGCUUUGUUAUCCAAGCUUAUGUUCUACCUAGGGGUGGGCAAAAAAACCAAAAACUGAACUGAACUGAACAAAAAAAAACUGAACAAUUACUAACAGUUCUGAAAUUGAACUGAAACAAUUCAGUUCAGUUCGAAACAGUUUAGUUCGAUUCGAAACAGUUCAGUUCGGUAACUAAAAUUUAAUUUCAUUUGUUUUUUUUCAUAUUUUUUCAAAGGCAUCAAUAAUAACAGUUCAGUUCAGUUCGGAACAGUUCAGUUCGGUUUGAAACAGUUCAGUUCAGUUAUUUUAAAUUUAACAAACAGUUCAGUUCGAUUCAGUUUUCAUCCUGAACUGAACCAUGUCCACCCCUAGUUCUAACGCAAUCACUUGUCUAAGUAUUUGGAUGAAACUAUAAAGAUAACUUUAAAUGUGUUCACAAGUUGUCUUUAGAUUAUUUCCAUAGGUUUUGUAGAAUAAUUUAUUAAAGUAAAUAGUUUAAUCAUUUCAUCUACUACUGUAAAAUUAGAUUAAGCAUAAUCAUAAACGAUAAAUGAUAAUUAGUGCUUAAUCGAAAAGAUUUCGCAAAAGCCUUCUGAGAUCUUAGACUCACAAAACAUCUACCAGACAUAGUUACCACAAGUAAUAUAAAAAUAAAAUAAAAAAAAUUGGUACUCAAAACAAGUGUUAUCCAACAAACUUGCAUAUCUACAUGUUGUAAUGUUGUGUUAAGGGUACUUAGUCGUAUCUAAUCUGAGCUUAUGGCUCAACACAAGCACUUGCAUAAGUAAUUUGUUGAGAUUGCAAAAUUAAGUUAAAAAUAUUUCAUAAUUACAUGUCUUUAACUUCAAACAUGUAUGAACAACAAGUAAUAACUUGUAUAAAAAAGUUCAAUAGUUUCAUCUUUAAUUAUGAAAGUAGAUUAUAAAUAAUCAUAAGCGAUAAUAAACACUUGAUCAAAACGUUUUACUUAGGCAUACUCUAGGUUCUUAAAUCUUACUCAAAAAACAUCCACCUUACAAUACUUUUUUCUUCAACUACAAAGGAAUUUACCUGCCAUCCAAGUAAGAAAGACUUUGCUUUGAUGCAAACCACAAUUGUCUAUUUGCUCCAUUUUGCUGAACACCAAAAAGAGAAAAGAAAGUUAUUUUAAUAUAAACAUAGCUCAAAGCACAUAAUGCUUGUCCAAGAGGUGUCAGUUCAGUGGUUAGAGUUGACUUUGUAACUUCAAGAGACAGAGUUGUAAUAUGAUCAUCAGAGACACUAUUAUUAAUGAAAAAGCAAACAUAUAUUUAAGGAAAAAUUGAGUGAGAGAUAGACCUUAACAGGAGGAGAAGAAGCUGCCUUGACAACAAAGGAACCUUUUCUAGAAGACCCUAUUGAAGAUGGGAGUGAUCUUGCUCCAAAACUCUGUCUCACAGCUUCAGCUGCAAAAGUAAGAGAUGAUGACGACACUAGAGCUUGUGUAGCCAUGUUUUUCCCUCCUUUGUUGCCUCUAGGAACAAGUUUUUUCUUCUUCAAGAAUGUAGUAGAUGGUUAAGAAUGAAUGAUAGAUAUUGAAGUAACUAUAAGUCAAAUGGAGGAAGAUAUGAAGAACUCUAAGCCACAUGCACCCAAGCAACGUGGAAGUUCUUGUGGUGAAUAUUGCAUGGUGCAAUAUAGUAAAGAUGAGAGUGUGAUCUAGUUCUCCAACCAUGUUUAUACACGUAAUAUGAUGAAUCGGAUAAGGAAUCUCAUGUUAUUCCCACUGCUGUUACGUUUUUGUUGGUAUACAAAUUGAAAUGUAACUUACUUACAUCCAGCUCAAUUGUGGUUGUGGAUAGUAUAUGUGCCAUUAAUAUUUUUACAACUCUCUAUUCUACAUCGACGUUGAAUAUUUGAGGCAUGCAUAACAAUUCUUUGCAUCAUAAAAUUUGAACAUUGUCGAAUAUUAGAAAGAGUUGUAUUUAUUUUGACAUAUAUGAAUUUAGACAACAAAUUAUUUCUUAAUGAAUAUAGCAAGAUGUUACAAUUUAUUAGUCAUCAACUUAAUGCAAUUUUUUUUUUUUUUUUAGAAAAACAAAAUGAUAUUCAUUCAUUUAAAUCGAGAGAGAUUACAUCAUUCAAGAUGCAUAUAACGACAUAAUGCCUACAAAAAUAUAUGAUAACAUUAAAGUGACCGGAAUAUCCAUGACCUUCGGAUCUGCAACUUUGACUCCCAAAUCUUUGAUUGAAUAAUCGAUUUUUCAAUAUGAAUCAAAUAAACACCGCAAGAAGACGGAAAAUCAAACAACACCGCAUAAGACGACGAACAACAAACCACCACACUUAGAUGAUAAAAUCACAAAGGAAAACCUAGAUCUAUGUGAAAAUCACUUAUUUAGAUUGAAAUAGAGAUAAAAAGAUGAAGAUGGGUGAUUUCAGGUUAAGAAUUGACUCAAAAUCACCUCUCAAUGAAAAAAUUGAUAGUGAAAACCUAGAGAGAGAAAACUAGGACCGGCUUGUUAGAGAGGGAGAGGAAACCUUCAAAUAUACAUAAUUUUGAAGUGUUCAAAUAUACAUAAUUUUUAAAUGUUCAAAUAUACAUAAUUUUUAAAUGUUUAAAUUUAGGUGACAACUAGGGUACCCAUGGAAGAAUGAUGGGUAAUUUACCCCAACCAAUACACAUUAGCCACAUAAGCACAUUUUUAAGUGGUAUCCAUGAACUAUCUUGACCCCACCAACAAAUUGCUCAUUUUCAUUGAUUGGUAGGUUAAUUACCCACCAUUCUUCAAAGGUAAUAUAGAAAAAACCUUAAAAUUAUAUCACAUUUUUUAAUCAGAUUCUUUUUAAACAUUGACCUACUAAUCGUAGUUAAUAACUUUAAAAAUCUUGGUAGAUUGUUAAUGAACUUUGAAACUUUGUUAUAUUCUUUCAUCAUGAAUGAAUUGCAUCUAUAUAUAUAUAUAUAUAUAUAUAUAUAUAUAUAUUGUGUUAACCAUCUAAUUUAUUUUUUUUGAAUUUGAUACCAAAAUUAUGUGUCAAAAUAUCAUUUCUCUAUUGAGAAAGAGCAAUGAUAGGUAGACAUCCCUAAUGUGUACACCUCUUUGUACUACUCUGAUAAAUUACAUUUAUUUAGUUGCGUGACCAUUAUCUAUUUGGUUAACUAAGUGGAAAAAUAGUGGUCACGCGCAUUUUAGUUGUGUGACCACAUUUUUCUUCAGCUUUUAAAUGUUGGAAAAAUAGUAGUCACAUAACUAAACAAAUGUGGUCACACAGACCAUAUAUUUGGUUAACUGAAAUUUUUCAAAGUAGUACAAAGGGGUGUACACAUUAAGGGUGUCUACUUAUCUUUAUUCAUUGAGAAAAUAGAAUUUUGCUUUUCUCCCAACAAGUUUUGCUCGAUCUCGACUUUACUUCCCAAAAUACCUCCGCAUGAGUUAACUCAAGCUGGAUAUAAUAGCCGCUUGAGUUAACUCAAGCAGGUAUUAAACAUGAAAAAACACCUAUGUCAGUUAACUCACACAGAGAUUUUCAUUAGCGUGAGUUAACUCACGCACGUAGAAAUACAUGUCGUUACCGUUUAAGUUCAAUGCACUUCCAGUCAAUAGAUCCUAAAACAUUUUUUUGUCCAAAUAAAUACAGUUUGCUAUGUCCCCAUGAGCUUAACUCAUUUGGUAAGAGAUAAUGCACAACAUGUACAGGGGUCGAACCCUGGACACCCCAGUUAUUCAUCUUUAAAGUGAAUUUCCGUGGCUACUUGACAAAAAAAAAUAUAUAUACAGUUUGCUACAACCUGUUCAUUUUAUUAUCACGAGCUUCUUAUGAUAUCAACUAUUGUAAGAUACACGUUUAUCAAAACUAUUUACCUAACAUCUUGUUGAAAUCUAAAACCAGGAAACAAAAGCUAUAAAAUAGUUCUUAAACUAUUUUCCCCAAAAGAUUCUUGUACCAAAUUCAAAAUUCAAUAAUAUUUUCUCAAAUUUGUAAGAUAGCUGCUGGGGCCUGGGAGGGGGAAGAUAUGGAUAGAAUAACUUAGUACCUUAGUAAAGAGAUCCCCAAUUGCCUUUUUUUUGGGGGGGCUAAUUUUACUGUUUAAAAUCUAGGAUUGAAAAUGGCAAACUUUAGUGUAAUACAUGCAUGGAAAAAUUCAAUAAAUAGUGCAACAAUCUCUGAUGACUUGCCCCAAAAUAACUUGCCCCAAAGAAAUGUUAUUUCUUUGUUGGGUUAGGUGUUAUGUGCCUUGUGACAACAUAACAGUCUGGUGGUGUGAUGUUUACGUAAUAGUUCUGGAUAGUUUCUGUAAUUUCAAACUCAAAUUUCUUAUAAAAGUUAAUGGCAUCUUCGUUGUUUGUCUGCACAUGCAAGUAAACCUCAGAAAUGUUCUGCUUCGCGCAAAGAUCGAUAACAUGAUUCAGCAGCCUUGUUCCUACAUACACCAAAGAUUCAUAUCAAAUUUCUAAACGAACAUAGAUAUCAAGCUUAAAGGAUGUGACACAGUUUCAAACAGUGACAGAUGUAAAAUGAAAUGUUCCUAAUAUGAUGCUUGCACCUUACAACAGGCUCUGAUAUGAGUUUGUGGUGGCAAAUAUGCACACUAAGAGUUGUAACUAAAUUAUCAUCUGAAGUUCCAAUUAGCAGUUAACAGCAAGAGAAAGAUACUAAAUUUCUUUCUUACCAAUACCAAGUCCACGGUAAGGCGCUAAAACACCUAAAGUCAUGAUGUAAACCCGAACUUGCCCACCUUCCUUCUUCUCCAGCCGGCACGCAAUUGCGCCAACACAAAUGUCACUGUAGUAAGCUGAAAGAAAGUAUAAUAAUCAAUCUUAAGGUUUGUGAACGUAAACUCACAUGCAACAACAUUAAUAAAGGUAUUAGACUCGUCCUAAGGAUCCCUUGUAUGCCCAUUCCACAUCUAUGUACCAUCCAUGUUAUCAUGAAAAACUGAAAGCACGCAGAUAUCAAACAGGGUAGUUGGAUUAAAAGUAAAGCUUGCAUUCCAAGUUCCAACUAAGUCAAAAACUUUCAGAAGCACACAAAUGUAAUAUAAUUAUAUUAUAAAGUAGUGAAGCUAUAUAGUCUUGGAUUCCAAUAAAGAUGACAAUGUACAGUUUUUAUGAGAUGUGGCUAAAAGAACAUUAAUCAUAAGUAGAAAGAUUUCAAAGCAAAAAGGAAUCACGUAUCCUCCUUAAAUCAAGCAGCAAAAGAAUCAAUUUAAAAGAGAUCUACCAUUAGCAUUCAGCACAUCUACCAAAGAAAAGAGAGAACUUACCUAUCAUAUGUAUUCCAUGUUCUUGUUAAAACUUAAAUUAAAACACUUAGAAAGGGGUAGUCAUAUAUUAUAAGUUAGGGGAAGGCGGUAAAUACAUUUGAAUCUAAAUAAUUAGACAGAAAUCCAAACUUUUUAUAUGCAGAAUCAAAAUCCCCAACGGAAAUCAAAUGCAUAUAGGAUACCACGGAAGAUAUCAAAUAGCAGUUCUGAGUUGUACAAAUAGCAGUUCUGUUGUACAGGGAAUUCAAGAUAAAUGUUUUGCGAGUUUGGAGGGGAGGGGAGGGGAGGGGAGGGUUUUGGGUAAAAGGAAGGAGGAAAGGGUAGUCCCCCAUGGUUUUGUUUUUCUUCAUGAUACAAAAUCCCCUCAAAAUGGGGGAACUCAAAAAUUGAAUUGGAGGAGGAAAUAGGAGGCUUUAGAUAAAUUCUUCAAAUCAAAUUAAUGUUGUUAUAAUAAUCUAAAAACUAAAAAUAUAUUAACGAUAAACAUUCAUUUACCCACUAUCUUUUCCUCUACUCCUCCCCCUUCCACUCCCUUCCCCUCCCCUCCAAACCCGCAAACACAGCCUAAAAGGAUUUGCUAUGACUGACUCCAGUGUUUCAGCAGGUUUAGUUUUAGCCAAGAGUAGUGCUAUAUAGCACAACACUCAUUUACCCAUGACAUCCAACGUCAAUUUAAUCCUUAAUAAAAUAUGUGAGAGAGAAAACAGGAAAUCGGUGCAUAGAGGUUUCAAUGGAUGGUUAUUGUUGUUUCGUUUACAUCCGCGCUUGUUGGUAAUCCUUUGACCAAUGAAUACACUAAUUUUUAAGAUUACAAAAGACUGAUAAAAAAGCAUUGUCCAGAGAUUGAAGUUUCACAUGUAAAGGAACAAUUUUUUUAAGCAUAAACAACAACUAACAUCAGAACGCGAAAACCCAAAUGCAAAUUGAAACAAUAGUUAUGGAUAAUUAUAUUACCUAACUAAAGUAUAGUGAAAUUAGAAUAUUAACCUUCUAAAAUGGACAGGAAAUAAGGACACGUUUGGAUUGGCUUAUUUUUUUAGCUUAUGAGAAAUAGCUUAAGGAAAUAAAUAAGCUUUUAUGUUAUUUUGUAAGUUGUCACUUACGAAAAUUGUAUCCUCAUAAGCUGUUUUUAUUUUUCUUCUAUAAACUAUCUUAACAAGCUUAUGAAUGAUACAUAAAAGCUUAUUUAUUUGCAUUAACCGUUCAAAACAGAAAUAAUGGAUAGAGAAGAACCUAGUUUGGUGAAAUCAGCAGAAGCAAGAGCAUCAGCAUAGUAUUUGUCGUUGUAACGAACAGGGAAAAGAGCAAGAUUAAGUUUCUUGAGUUGCAUAAUGUUCUUGUCUCUUACACCAUCUAAUGAGAUUGAUACUUCACGACCAGCUCCCAUUGAUUCUACUUCUAUUCAAUUCAAUCGAUGAAUCAAAAUUAUUUGGUGCACCGCAAAUCGGAAAGGAAAAUCGAAAGAAAAAAAAAAAGUAAAAAAAAUGAGAACCUGGAUAAUGUGAUGGUGGAGUUAGAUUGAGUUUUCCGGCGAGUUGAGUUGAGUUGAGUUGAGCUGAGUGGGACUCCGAUUUUGGUUGUGAAAGGAAUAUGGAUGGAAGAGGAGGGUAAAGCGGUAGCGGCUAUGGGGAGUUUUCUUUUCUUUGGUGGAUGGAGGUGAUGAAUAAGAUUAGUUGAUGGGCUUCAUAGCAACUGGAUUGGGCUUCUUGGAUUAUAAUCCCUUUUAUUUUUGCUCAUUCCUCUUUUGCUUUUCUACCUACUCUACUCACCAUGAAACUCACACUUGGCAUUUUUAAUGAAAAGGGAUAAAAACAAUUUUCAUUUUCUUUUUCCACUCUCUCUGUUUCUUACGCAUUCUAUUUAGAUUCUAAAAUUCAAAAUAUUUUAAUGUGAUUUUUACGAUUCGGAUUAUAUAAUUUUAACUGUAUAGGGCACACGAGAAAUCAGUAGAGUAGAAAAAGAAGAAGUCUUGUAAUCUAAUUUCUUUGUUUUCAUAUUAUUAUGGGAAUACUAACAUGAAUAUUGUAUAAAUAUUGUCUUAAAACUUCUAUCAAAUAAAUUUGUGCCUUUAAUUUCUUAAAAAUUUAAAUGAAAAUUAACACAAAUUUUGUUUUUCUAACUCCAUGACAUUUAUCUUUAGAGAGUGUUUUUUUAUGUAUUAAUCCUCUAAUUCUCAAAAAAAAAAAGAGUUUUAAUAAUUCAAAGUUCAACUAUAGGAUAAGAAAGCCUUAUUAAGAAUCGUUUUAUCUAAGAUUUUAAUUUAUUUAUCUUUUAAACAAGUCGUUCUUUAUGGAGCUCAUUAAUUAUUUAUGUUCCCUUCCUUAUCCUUAGUAUUCAUAAAAUGUAUUAGAAAGAGUUCAUGUAUUUUAUUUUAUUUUCUCCUAGCGUGUGUUUGUUGAACAAGAUAAAACUUUUGUAUUCUGCAUGAAACGAGAAGACACAGUUGUUCCAAAACAAGUUUUGAUUGGAUUUGAUUUACUACCUGGCUCGCAAUUUAGUUUACAACCUUUGUUUGUUCCAUUUCUGUGGGCGUUACGUUACACCGAAAGCUCAGUUCACAUUUGGCUACCGCUGCUACAAAACAGAUACAGUGUGCAAUAUAUCUAAAAUAUAAAUCUAUGUAAAAUUAAUUAAUAAAAUACUCACGAUUAUCUUUGAAAAGUAUAUCAGGAACACCUUAUCGUCGAGUUAUGUUAUCGUCACUGUAACAACUCGCAAUCUUCAUUUUCAAACCCCCUCUUUCUCUUCUCUUCUUCCUUUCUUCAUUUCUCUGUUACAGUGACAGUGACAGUGUAAACGAACACCAUUUCUCUUUACAAUGCCGUGUACAAUUUCUAUAUCAGCUCCUUCUUACUCCAUCACUCCCUUCUUCACAUUCACAUCUUCAAAAUCAACUCAAAUCUCUCAUAUUUCUCAUACACCCCCAAAAUCACUCACUACACAAACCCGUAAAACCACAUCUUCUCACCACUUUCAACGACUUAUAACAAAAGCAACCGUUUCAAUUGAAAAAGAAACACCAGAAUCAGAACGCCCCGAUACAUUUCUUCGCGGCGUCGACAACGACGGAGCCACCGCAUCUUCCGUUCGAGCUCGAUUCGAGAAGAUGAUAAGAGAAGCACAAGAUAAAGUGUGUAAUGCAAUUGAACAAGCUGAUGGUGGUGGAAAAUUCAAAGAAGAUGUUUGGUCAAGACCUGGUGGUGGUGGUGGGAUUAGUAGAGUUCUUCAAGAUGGUGCUGUUUGGGAGAAAGCUGGUGUUAAUGUUUCUGUUGUGUAUGGUCAAAUGCCACCUGAUGCUUAUCGUGCUGCUAAGGGUGCUGCCGCCGCUUCCAGUGAUCAGAAGCCCGGGCCUAUUCCUUUUUUCGCAGCCGGAAUUAGCUCUGUAAGUAUCCUUUUUUUUUUUCCAUCAUUUUAAGUAUCAAUUACCAAUUAUAUUCCAACAUUUUAUAAUUCAUUCCUAUAUAGAUAGAUAUAAAUGUUCCUUUGGUUAUGCGGUGGUAAAAAUUGAUUUUUGAAUUCAUUGAUUUUAUAUUAAAAUUGAGUUGGAUCCAAUCCAAAGUGAUUUACCAUAUAUUUGGUUUCAUGUUUAGAGCAGUUAAAAUUGAUUUUGGAGGUGUAAAAUUGAUUUUGUAUGUUUGGUCGGUAGAAUUGAUUUUGCCUCCAGAAUUGGUUCUACUUGAAGUUGAGAUUUGUACAGAUGAUUGUACAACUCACUUUUACCAAAAAUCAGCAAAUCCAAACGGUCGCUUAUUUUUGAGCUUAUGAAAAUAAAUAAGCUUUUAUGUUAAUUUAUAAGUUCUCACUAACAAAAAUUGUAUCUUCAUAAACUACCUUGACCAGCUUAUUAAUAAUACAUAAAAGCUUAUUUAUUUGCAUAAGCCAAUCCAAACAGACCCUUAGUCACUAUAAGUUUUUUUUUUUUUUUGAGUUCAAUCUGUGCAUAUUUAAAAAUUAUUGCUUUUAGUCCCUGAUGUCAUACGUUGCUCAAUAAACAACGAUUUUUGAAUUUGAAGGGACUGAAUCCAAACAAAAAAACUUACAGGGAUUAAAAACUAAAAUUGCUAUAAAACUGCAGGGACUAAAAUCAUAUAUAAACCAUUAUAAUUACUAGUAAGGAUACUGUUUAAUCCUGUAUGUAUGUAGAGAAACAAUGUCAGCAACAUAGGUGUGAUAUUCUGUUGAAAACUUUUUUGGAAUAGAUCAGUAGACACAUAGUUUUUUGUUGGGUAAAAUUGAUCGAUAUAUAGUUAGAUACAUAGGUGUUUGCUUGGUUGCGUGUGGAUGAAAAUUGAUUUUGUGGGAAAAAAAAUCACAAAGCUUGUAAUUAGGGGGGCUAAAAUCUCAGAUUUGGAAAAGGAUGAAAAAGUUUUUGCUGUGUAAGUGGGUACCUGAUGUGAGUAUGCAAAUUCCAUUGCACUCUCUUUUGAUGAUUGCUUCUACUUCAUCUUUUGUCGGUAAGCUAUCAUUGCAAUCGUCAUUGUUACUUGCCUUAGACAGUACCAAAAUUCCAAAUUAUCAAAAUAAAUUAGUCUGAUUUGUAUAAAGGAUCUUUAAAAUACAAGCAUGCUCAUAUAUCUGAGUCAAAGCAUGCCCAUAAAAAAGAGUAUGAUCACUUACACCAUGUCCUCAAUUGUGUCAAAGACUUUUUUUUUUUUUAAGAUUAGAUUGAUAGGUUGAAAGAUAGAUACAAGUGUUCGCUUGUUUAUGCACUGAUGAAAAUUGAAAAAAAAAAUUCCAAGAAGGAUGAAAAUUAAUUUUGUAAAAUUGGUUUUGGUUAGAAUUUAGUUGGAUCUGAAGUGAUCUAUGUUUGUAUUCAUUUACGUAAAAGUGAGUUCAACCAUAACUUUGGGCUGAUAAUGAAUCUCAAAAUUUCAGCUUCUAGUUAGAAUCACUUUUAGAAGCAAAAACAAUUUUACUUGAAAAUAUCCAAAUGUGUCGAAAUCAAGUAUGUGUGCAUGUUUGAAUAGACUGAAUUUAACAAAAUUGCAGUGGUAUUUACCAUGAUUUUGGUGAAGCUCUAAAGAGUUUUUUUUUUGCCAAAAUCAUUGUGGCACACCGUGAUUUCGACAAUCAUUUGAAUCUAAUUUUGUUUCUCCCAAAAUUGAAUCCAAACAUUCAAUGAAUAAUUUGUGCUGACCGCUCAAUGUCUUUCGUUCUAUAUGUUCAGGUUUUACAUCCCAAAAACCCAUUUGCCCCAACCUUGCAUUUCAAUUAUCGCUAUUUUGAAACCGAUGCUCCCAAAGGUAUGUGUUCUGCUUUUUCUUUCUUUUAUGCAAGCAUUGUGCCGUGUUCAUUUAAAAGUUACUUUUCUUAUUGUAACGAUUUUGGGAAAAACGACUCUGAAUUGAAUUCUCACUAGUCAUUACACUUAAUCAAGAGUUAUAUUAUUAUAUACAAGUUUCAAAAUAAAUCAUCUGUGUUUGCUGCUCUUGCUGGAUUUAGCAAUGUGUUUUUGGCAGCUUUUUGCCUUUGUCAACAUUAGUGGAUCCUGUAGUAUAUAUGCCCUUUGUCUCUUCAUCUAUUCAAUUUCAGUCAUGUGGCCUGAUGCGACUGUUUGUUUUUUAGCCUGGUUUCGAUUUGUUAUUGUGGUUCUAGGGGGUCUCUAUUUUUGCAGUUUUGCUGAACCUUGCAAUCUCUUUUCAUAACCAAAGUAUGCCUUAUACUAUGUGUUUGCGUUUUAUAUUACUCUAGUGUUUGCUUUUUUUUUUAAAAAAAAUUAUAUACAAGUUUAAUAUACGUUUGUCAUGAUCCAGAAAUUACAUUGUUAACUGCCCUUAACUAUCAUAAGUACAGCUGAAUCAACUAGUAUGCUUUAUAACAGUAUUGUCUACUACAUAUCAUUAUACUGGCAUGAAAGUAUAAAACUUGUAGUGACUGACAUUGGAUAACAGGCCUCUUGAGUUUGCUUCUAUUGACAAUCAUGCUAUUUCAUUUUACAGAUGCUCCUGGAGCACCUAGACAAUGGUGGUUCGGUGGGGGAACCGACUUAACCCCUGCUUACAUUUUUGAGGAGGAUGUCAAGCACUUCCAUUCAGUAAGUGCACACAAUAUUGGUUUUUCAAAUUUUGUGGUUAAGAGUCAAAUUCUUUGGUAACUUUUUAAAAACAAAUAGUUGCCUUUGUUAUAAAAUGUCACCUUACUUUGACAUCUUAUGUGAGUAGUUUUAAUCUGGAUUUGUAGUUUCAGAUGGGUUUUCUUGAAUUAAAUAUGUCUAGCUUGGUUCCUUUGAUAUGUGUAGCGCUGAAACUUUAAGCAUAGGGAUCUGGUUAUCUAUAAAAUGUUUCUGCAAAUGCUUGAGAAUUCUGCAAUUCAAUUCAUUUCAAAUGUUUCUCUCUAUGCUAUCUGGAUCAAACCCUGAAAUGGAAACAAAACAUAUACAUUCCAUGUUUUCUUAUAUUUCUUUUGAAAUUAUUGCUGGUAUUCAUGAUUACCUUUUACAUCCCCACCCCUUCCCGUAAAGAAUUGAAUCCUCACAUUGGUAUGAUAAAAAAGUCAAUGGUGGACACUUGAGAAAUUCUGGCAUAUGAUUUUCAGUUUAAACACUUAAUCUUUAAAAUAUUGCUUUGAUCAUCCGAUAUUUUUUUUGUUUAAUGGCUACAAGAGCAAGUGCUAUACUGAGUUUAUAUAAUGCUUUUAUUGUAGGUUCAAAAACAGGCUUGUGACAAGUUUGAUCCUACCUUUUACCCCCGAUUCAAGAAAUGGUGUGAUGAUUACUUUUAUAUCAAGGUAUGGUCUCAUCCUUUUUCACGUUAUGGAGAUUUCUAGUGCUGUAUUUCUGUAGUCUUUAGAUGUGUUUGAUAAAGCUGAAGCUAGACAAUAAAAAGCAAUGAAUGAGCAUUCAGGGUUCAGCUCAUCAACCUUCAAUAUAAGAUUAAAUUUUAAUUUUCUGUCUAUAUAUUAUCUUUAGCUUUGAUAAAUUUUAUACAUGAAACCAGUGUUUGUAGAUGGGUAGCAAGGAUGUUUGUAUGUUAGGAUGAAUGAUAGGAUAGGGAAUAACACCUGUGAUGAUUUGGCAAUAGUGAAUCGAGCUAUCAUCGUAUGAAGUAUACGCAGCUGAUAAUAUGAUAUAUUCAGGAGACUUAGGGUAGUUUAUGAGAAGAGCGAGUGACAAAAAGUCAGAAACACAGAAACAUGUUAAUAGUGUCUUCUGAUAUUACAAUUUUUUGUAUGCAUUUAACUGCAAGGUUCCCUUAACUUCUUAGACCCAUAAUAUUGGGCUUAUAAACAAUAAAAUUGAGAUUAUUAUAUCUGUCUAUACUGUUUUAUUCUCUAUUUUGUGAGUUGUUAUCAACAGAAAUCCCAUUUUAGAGUAUACCAGUUGAGUCAGUUUAGUGUCUAGUUAGUUGGAUCAUGGUUGCCACGUGACAUGUUUGAGGGAUUAAAGUGGAUUACUGUAAUUUUUUUUAUUUUUUGUAAUUAAAUUGAGCAUGUGGUAUAUGUUUGUUGCUGAUUGUAUUUUCUUGUUUUCCUUUUCGUUUUAAAUUCAGCACCGAGAUGAAAGGAGAGGACUUGGAGGAAUAUUUUUUGAUGAUCUAAAUGACUAUGAUCAGGAGAUGCUUCUUUCCUUCGCUACUGGUAAUUGCUUGAAUAUAACAUUUGUUGGUUCUCACUUCUCAGUGGAAAGAUAUUCAGUUCUUUCAUUUUCAUGCUUGCCUAAACUAUGAUUGUUUGCAGAAUGUGCAAACUCUGUUAUUCCCGCUUAUAUACCUAUCAUAGAGAAAAGGAAGGAUUUGCCCUUCACAGAUCAUCAGAAAGCAUGGCAACAACUGCGAAGGGGACGAUAUGUUGAAUUUAAUUUGGUACACUUUCUAAGCUAACUUCUAGACCAAAUUUUGUGCUCUACUCCUUUUCAGAUCUGGUUUAAAUUUAUGUUACCACUGUUUUUUGGCUACAGGUAUAUGAUAGGGGUACAACAUUUGGACUAAAAACUGGAGGUAGAAUAGAGAGUAUUCUUGUUUCUCUCCCACUGACUGCUCGGUGGGAAUAUGAUCAUGUAUGAUUUUAUAAUCUUCUUUAUAUUUUGCUAAAAUGUAAACAAGUUGAAUAUUAGAUGAACCUGAUAUUCCAGUUAUAAAAUUGUUGCUGAAAUGCUGAUAUCAUUUUGUGUGCAGAAACCAGAAGUAGGAAGCGAAGAAUGGAAACUCUUAGAUGCAUGCAUUAACCCUAAGGAAUGGCUCUAAUUUAUCAGUUAACCACCCAAUUUGGUAGCUUUUUUCAAUAAAAUAAGAUAGUUUGUAUUCUUCUUCCGGUGUAUAUCAUGUACUUGUAAGAUGAGUGACAACUGUUUUAGCUUCCUAAUAGGUGGAUUGUAAAUCACAUGUUUUACAUUUUUCACCGAUGUUGUAAAAUUAUGCAAAUUAAAAUUGUUUAGACUGCGCUGUACUGUGGCCUCUCUUAGUACUACCCAUUGUUCCUCAAGAACUAUCUGUUUUGCAAAAAAAAACAAAGGCAGCUUCUUCAAGCAGCUAUUUAUAAUUUAUUAUUCUAAAUAAACUAAGCAAAACAAACUAUGAGUAGGUUCAUCAAAAUUAGCGUUGAGGACCAUUGAGGGAACUUCAGAAGGGUGGAGGUCGGUUUCCUGGUUUGCUGCAUACUUUUUUCCUGGAAUUACUUUUACGAUUCUAACAGCACUGAAUUUUGAUUUUGGUUAUUAUGCAUCAUGAUGGAACCAUAAACAUGAUUACGACUAACCAAAAACAUUAUUCACAAAAAGUUUAAAGCUCCACGGCAGUUAACUGCUGAUGGAAAAUAACCACAUCGGUAGUUAACUAUCGCCGGUUUAGUUCAUCGGCAGUUAACUACUGAUGGGAUUACUUUUGUAAAAUACCGGUGUUUCUUAGCAAACAUUGAAGUGCGAACAACAAUUUUUAGAACUGAAACCACAUACCCAAUGACUUCCUAAACAAAAAUAAGCAUAAAAGCCCUUUUGAGCAUAAUAGUACAAAUAAGUCACAUGGUCUGAGAUGGAUAAUUAGGCGAUGUUGGUGUAUUGGAGCCUACCUUCAGUCGUGAGAUCUGCAGAUUUUUAAAGAUCUGGAACAUUGGAGAAUUAUAUAUUAGGAACGCCAAACAAAAUCGUUUUCACAUGAAACAACCAAAACCGCCGCCACCUCUAAGACGAAGGUAGUGACAACUUUUGAAAAACCACCCAGAAAGACCCAUUUUUCAAUGGGUUUGAAUCAAAGAACUUCAAACAACACUUAAACCCAUGCCCGCCGAAUAAGAUCACAUAUCUGUGAAAACACAAGCCCAAAAGCAGACCCUGUCACGUUAAUAAUAAUAAUAAUAGAUCCAUAAACAAAUUUCAACAACCAUCUAAACACACAUUGACAACUCAAAGAAACACGUAUGAACAAAUCCCAAACGCAAAACACACUCGUUAAUGGAAUCACCUCACAUCUUGGAAAAACGUGUGAGAGGUCAAAGCACCCUUGACGAAUAAGGUAAAGCACACCAACAAGACUAAGGGCUACAUCUGGUCUAAGGCGUUUGGAUUGAAGGGCGGAUUGGGUGGUGGAUUUAGCGGAAAACGACUUGAGAUUGAAUGAGAAAAGAGAGAAGUCUAAGACAAAUGAAGUACUUGAUUCUCGUAAAAUUAGAAUUAGUAGUAGGUUUAUAUUUUGAUAAAGAAUAUAUUGGUAUGUAUAAUAUCUAUUGCUUUAAAUCAUCAAAUUUUAGCAGUGACUUUCGAUAGAAGAGUUAUAGAAGAAAAGUUUAUUAUGAGUUUUAUUCAGAUGCAUGAGUUUUAUUCAAAUGCAUCUUACAAUUUAGAUAGCAUUAAAACCACUAGAUAGUUUGAAAUAGUAUUUGAUCGACCGAGUUCAGCAAUCUUAGUAUCAAUCUCCUACAGUUUCUUAUCAACUACCUCAGCAAAGUCAGACGAAUCUUUAGCAGUCUUUAAGUUGGCUAGCAUAUUUUUGUUGUGGGUACACCCCAUCAUAAGGAGAUUCGGCUCAUUCUCACGAUUUUCUUGUCUUUUCAUUUCCAAUUGGCUUAUAGCUUCAACAAUCCUCUAGAGGAUGGAAUUUUGUUGGUUCACAUAAUUCAUUUCAUCUAUCACAGAUGAACCCGUAUUACCAACAAUCAAUUGGUUGGCUAUCUGUGGAUCAUGCGAGACCUAUUUAUUAGGAAAAAAUAUUGAAAAUUAUAACAAUUACAGAAAUAUCAUAAACAUUUGUGAUUUUCUCACCUUCUUUGAGCAUUACAAAUAACACAAGUCUUUAAACAUAUCACAUCACUGAAGUGGUGGAAAGGCUCUUAUUUGCUCAUGUUUCACAUAAUAUGUGAAACAAUGAGGGGAAAAUCUAUUGAAAAAGAUAGAGAAAUAGCUUAUUAUUAGAAGUAAAAAUACACUGAUCCACCGCAACAAAAGAGCUUCCACCACAACGACGACUGAUGAGGCAAUGGUGGCAGCAAAGAAAUGACGUUGAUGACAUAUUCUUUGACUUGAGGAGUAAGUUAGGGUUAGUCAGUAUCAUUUUGUUUUAUGUUUUAAGCAUUAUUAAAAAAUGGUGACGUGAUAAUUUCAGAAGUGGCAAAUAGAUCCAAAUGCUCAGAAAUACGGAAAGGUACUCUACGUUUCGAUGGCUCGACCACUUCUGUUGUAGAUAUACUACCUUGCCAAUGUCCCUACCCUUAUUAGCAUGACUAAAUUGUACAUUGGAACCAUCUUCCUCCAUAUUUACUUCUUGAAUUCUGCUCAUCCCCCUGCACUUUUCGCUCGCGCCCUGCAGCCAUUCCAAAAAUGCCCUUACGUUAGUUUACUAACGCAAGGAUAAAAUUAUAUGCUACUUAACUAACGCAGCAUGACUUAAAUCACGCACGUAUAAAAACCGUUUUUUACACUUGCCUGAAUUAACUCACGCCAAUUUCCAAUUUUCAAACGUGAAAGAUGAAUCACAUGUAUACAUAGUUAUACAUACACAACCUGGAUACAUUAAACUAUUAUUAUCAUUCCAACACUUUGCUUAUAUUCAAGAAUCACAUGCAUAGAUAGUUAAUAAUCAUGCUCUUGGAAUCUUGCCACGUUCCAAAUUGUAGAAGACAUGAAGAUAUUAUGCUCCUUGCUGCUUGCUACGUGUUGAAGCAAUGACAUAAUUAGCUGCUUGCAAUGACAUAACAUAUGACGCAAAUAUUGCUUGCUGCUCCUUCUUUUGAUUGCACAGAUACAUGUAGAAUUCAAGUAGAAAGCUUACUGUGCAAACGAAAACCAGCGUGAGUUAACUCACGUGAGGUGCGUGAGUUAACUCACUCAAGUGUAACAAAUGGUUUUUACAGGCACGUGACUUAAGUUACGCUGCGUUAGUUAAGUAACAUAAGGGUAUUUUUGGGAUGGCUGUAGAGCGCGAGCGAAAAGUGCAGGAAAAAGAGCAGAAUUCUUACUUCUUUGCUCAUGAUAUCAUAUGUGUCCAAUGCUUGUUCUGCUCCAAUUUUUUUUUACUUGCUAUACUUUUAGCACAUAUAUCUACAUUGCCAUCCCAAUUUGAAAUGCCCUUGAAUUAGAAUCGCUUGGCUUCUUAAUGUGACUUAAAAAGAACAAGGGUCAUGCUACAUUUUGCCUUUAAAAUACAUAACAUUAAUGUCAUUAGAGGAAUGCUAGCUGCAGUUGCUUGGACAGUCACUCUUAAACACACGCUCAGCUAGUGGACCACGUUACAAUGUUUUAAAAAUUGGUGACCGGUUUACAGGUUCUCUAGGUUGUCUUUCUUACACUUUUUUUUCAUUUCUUUUCUUAUUUCUUCAAUUCUUAGUUUCCACCAAACAACUUCCACCGCCUUGUUAUUCUUUCUCUUUUGUAGAGAACAGUCCACAAUCAACCUGAAAUAAAGCCACCACCAUGAACUUCAAACUCCACUUUACAUAUGUAGCUAUGGUGGAAUUUUGAUUUCUAGGUUGUAUUAUUUAAAAGUUAAUUUUUUUUAAGAGUUAUCCUCAUUGCAUUUUCUCUCGGUUGGGAUCUGUUACCCUUCCUUCGAUCCCCCAGGACACAGAUUCAUCAAUCAAACCCAUUUUCCUUAUCAAGUUUUGGGUUUAGAUGUCUCUCUCAAUCAUCUUCAUAUGCUCAAAGAUGAGGUCAUUUAAUCCUUUUCUGUUUGACCCUUUUAAAUAAAGAUUCAAUUUUUGAAUAAAAAUUUGAUUUUGACAUUUUUGUUGCAGAGAUUAGUUCAUCACCAACCGACCCAACAUCCCACUGCGGAGGAAUUGAGUAUUGGGAAGAUCAAGUUUAAAACUUUUGAUUUGGGUGGUCAUCAAAUCCCUCAAAGUCUUUCAACAAAAAAAAUCCCUAAAAAAAUAGAGAUCCCAACAGAAACGAAUCAGAGCAAAAUUGGAGAGGUUGUUGUGAAUGUAUGGCAACGACUGUGAGGAUAAUGUUUGAAAGUUGAGAAGAUUAUGGAGAAGAAGGAUUGUUUAGAGUCAUAUAAUUAUUUGCUUCAGCUUCUAGGGGAUAGCUCUACCAAAUAAUUAACAAAUAAAAAUAGUGUUAAAAAAUUAAACUUAAUUAGUCGGUAACCGAUAAAAUAACAAAUAGGUGGCAUAUUAGUAGAGCGAGUUUCCGUUAGCAACUGCUAGAGCGCAUAAUUGGAGAGGUUAGUUUUUAAAUAAAGAUUCAAUUUUUGAAUAAAAAUUUGAUUUUGACAUUUUUGUUGCAGAGAUUAGUUCAUCACCAACCGACCCAACAUCCCACUGCGGAGGAAUUGAGUAUUGGGAAGAUCAAGUUUAAAACUUUUGAUUUGGGUGGUCAUCAAAUCCCUCAAAGUCUUUCAACAAAAAAAAUCCCUAAAAAAAUAGAGAUCCCAACAGAAACGAAUCAGAGCAAAAUUGGAGAGGUUGUUGUGAAUGUAUGGCAACGACUGUGAGGAUAAUGUUUGAAAGUUGAGAAGAUUAUGGAGAAGAAGGAUUGUUUAGAGUCAUAUAAUUAUUUGCUUCAGCUUCUAGGGGAUAGCUCUACCAAAUAAUUAACAAAUAAAAAUAGUGUUAAAAAAUUAAACUUAAUUAGUCGGUAACCGAUAAAAUAACAAAUAGGUGGCAUAUUAGUAGAGCGAGUUUCCGUUAGCAACUGCUAGAGCGCCUGACCUUAGCAUUGCUCAUGUCAUUAUGGUAAUAAUUUAUUAAAAAAAAUUAUUUUUUAAUAUUUUGAGCAAUAAAUUAACACAAUUUCGAAUACUCUUUUUUUUUUGGUACAAUACUAUGGCUAGUAGAAUUCCAAACUAUUAAUUAUAGACAUUUGAAACAAAUAAGAUUACCAAUAACAUGGGCUUAUUCUUAUUUGAUUGCGUAAGAGCUCAUGUAUGAAUAUACAUAUGCUACAUACAUAUGUUAGAUAAAAAAAUUCCUAUUUGAUUGCGGAAGGUAUUGUUGUUGAUCUAAAUCCGCUCUUCCAUGAGGUUAUCAGACAAUACGGAAAUGUGUAUGAACUGAUAAAGCCAAGGCGAAGGAGACUUGAGGAGUUGUUCAACGUGGCAGCCUUUCUUUUAGUUUUGUUUACUUUUAUUUGUUAAUAAUUUGAAGUAUGUGACUUGUACUCCUUUGCAUACUUUAUGUAAUAAGUACUCUGUUUAUUUAAGUUUUAAACCUUGAGUUUCUACCAGUUGCUAGUAUCUUAGAGAACAUUUCUAUAUUAUAUUCUAGUCGAUAAUAUGGAGUGUCACAUUUUGAUAAUAGAAACUUAUGAUUUCAAAAUGACAGCUAUGUCAUUAAUCUUUAUUUUCGUCUCCAUAUAACUUUAUUUGCUUUUAUCCCACUAACACUCAUAAAUUAAGGUAAUUUAGUAAAUGGUAACUAAUGAGAAUAUCCUAUUAUUUUUUUGGGGUGCUACAACUAAACAUAUUGAUUCCCAGAAAAUGCUAAAAUUUGAACAUACAAUCAUUGAAGAUACUAAGAUAUAGGGAAUCCACACACCUUACUUCCAUCUUCAAUCUAACGUGCACCAUAUCCAUGUGGCCGCACAGUGUGUAUUUUAAUCCAACUACAAUGUGCUAUUAUGAUUUUGUUUCUUAGUGUAACGUUUUUUGGAUCUAAAUUAAAUUAAUCGCCUUUUACUUCAUUUUGUGUUGUCAAUAUCUUUUGUCCAAUGUCCAAUUGAUAGAUAAGUUAACCCUCUUUCUUAAGGCAAGAUGAUACUGCUUGGUGACCUAUAAAAAUUACAGCGACGGAUGAAUAAUGCUAUCAAUACACCCUUUGAUAAUAUCUUUUUUAUUUAUGAAAAUUCAUCUAAUAAAAUAGAGCAUGUUUGUCACAGUCCCUUAGAGAAUAUGAUGCUAACACACUCCUCAUUUUCUUAUUUUGUACUACUUUUUAACACUUUUUCAUUCUCUUUCUAGAGUAGAGAUUAUUACUCAGGGAGCAGAGAGGAUUAGGACAGAUCGGUAUGUAUGUCGCAUAAGAUUGUUGGGAAGCAAGCAUUAGGAUUUGCAUAGAAAAUGACUGUGAAUUCAAUUGUAGGAUUUGCAUUCACAAAUAUAUUGCAGGAACAAACAAAUAACCAUUCAUAGAAGUUAUGCAGUACACGUUGAUUCCAUUUCCUAAUAAAUAAAAGACAUCAGUUACCUUCUUCAACAUUUACUAUAGAAUAUAAUAAUUAUUAGUGGAUUGGAUUCAAUCCAUCCAUUUAAUAAUAAAAGGAUUUUUUAUGGAGGGGAAUAUAAAAGGAUCUUAUUUUUGCAUAGAUGAAUUGAAUUGAAUUUUUUAAAGAUUUUUUAGUCGAUGAUUAAUGAAUUGUUUUCAUCCAUCGAUUACAAUUCAUUCAAACACUCUUAUAGUUGAGGUCGUCUCAAUCAAUAUUCAGGCUUAAAGUGAACUCUAUGAGUGAGACAUUUUAAAACUUAUUAGUUUUUUAAAAUUAUUUGAUGUAAUUUUAUUUUUCGGACUUUUUGAAAUGCAAAAUCGUUUAUUAUUAAAUUAUCAUAAUCUAUUUCAUUUAAUUGUUAAAAAAAUUUAUAUUAACUUUAAUUUCUUUGACGCAAUAUUAACUAUAAUUAAGGACUGUGAAUCACAACAACAACAAUAACAUAUCAAUUACAAUGCCAAUAUGGCAAUGUUAAGGACCAAAAAAGACAUGUAGCCCCAACACUCAUCUAAUGCUACCAUGUUACAUGCUAUACAAAAGUCAGUACAUAACAUCAUUGAUGAGGGUAUGAGUAGAGACAAAAAACCUAAUAAUCACAAUUCAUUACAAACUAAAAGGAAAAGAAAAAGUGGUAUUCACUUCCAUAGGUGUUGCUGGCUGCUAUGAUCACAAUUACAUUGAAAAGUAGUUGGAAAUUUUACUUUAAAUAUACACAUUCUAUUCACUGAGUUUUAAAAAUAUGUAUGAAUAAUUUAAGUUGAAAAUAUAAAACUUUUCCCAAGGUUAACUAACAUAUAUUUUGCAUCCUUAAAGAUCAAUAAAUCAAAUCACAUAGUUAAAGUUUUUGGCAAGAUCCAUUCAUUCAUAAGUACAAUAAAUCCCACUGGUAACAAUCUAUCUCCCAAAUUACAUUUCAAAUACUAGCUAUAUCGGUACAACUAUAUGGCUUUAGCUUAGCCUGCAGAUAAAGAUACACUAUACAAGUAAACAAAUCACCGGUUUAUCGAUAAAAGAGAUUACCAAAAAGAAAAAAUAAAACACAGCUUAAACAGGAUAGAGUUUUAGCAAGGCACAACGAAAUGCAUUGCACAAACUGCAAUCUAGACUGUGAACAUAUCAACCUUAUACAACUUACACGGACAUUCCACCAUAUCCUCAAACUAAUCAAACCUUAAAAGAUGAGCAUUUAUAUGCAGAUGGCAUAUAUGUCCCCCAAAGAGUUGCUUACUAUGAUACUACAAACCAAUCAAAGUAAAAUUUGACAAUUGGCCGAUAGAUAAGCAAACAAACAUGAUCCUAGCUUGACUGUCACUGUACUGAGUCUUUUAAGAUUGAAAACGGUGAUUGUGUCAGAGGUUCAAUACCCAACAUAGGCCACUUAAUCCCCUCCCCAACAUACGCACUAGAACCUCCUAAUGUACCCGAAAGUAAAAAUAAGUAAUUGAAUGUGGCAUAUUUAAGGUAAGGAUGGCAAAAUGGAUGGAUAUGGAUUUGGAUCCUAAUCGAUGGAUCAAAACAAUCCAUUAGCCCAUUAAAAUCCACUAAAUUUUUUCAUGAAGUAUGAUCGGUAGGUUGUUGAUAGAGUUGAAAGAAAAAAACAGAGAAAAUUGAGGAAAAACAGAGGAACCAAGGAAAAUACAGAAGAAAAAAAAUAGAGGAAAAACAGAGGAAAUGAGCAAAAAAACAGAGAAAAUAGAGGAAAACCAGAGAAGAAACAGAGCAAACAGAGGAAAACAGAGCAAAAACGAACCUGAGUAAAGUCGAAGCAUGAUUGAGGUGCCGUGGGAUGUAGAAUCGUACGAUCCUAUGAACCAGCACGAGAUCCUGACUACAAUACCUUUCACGACAUCCUCGGUUACUGACCCGUAAAUCAAUCCGACUUUAUUUCCCCUCUCGGUCUUAUCUCUUCAUACCUGCACAGGAUGACAUUGACCACCUCAGCGAUAGCAGCGCCAUCAAGAUCUUGAGGAGCUGUUAGAGAACUAGGUUGAUGUCCAAUUUUUAUAGACGGGCGAUUAGCAAGUGGUCACCCUUGAAACUCUACCGCCCUGAUCUAAUCAACAAAAAAACUCGAGUUGCCAAAUUUCUUCGGAACAAGAGCAUUACUAAUUUCUUCAUUAUCAAUGCUACCACCACUCCUCAGAGAUCGAUCCUCUAGAGAAUAUACUAAAGGGACCCAGAACACCAUCCAGAGCUUGCAUAUUGACAUCAAAUAAUACAGUGUUUUGAUUGGCAUCUCGAUCCGAUGAGUCAAUUCCUUCAAAACUUUGAGGAAAUUGAACAUAGCAGAUCCUGUUCACACCACAGUUCAUUACAUAGAAAAUGCCAUCCCUCACUGCCUUGGAGUUAGAAAUGUAGUGGUCAAAAUCAACCACUGGACGGUCUGGCUGAUGCUCGAACCAAGGCAUUCAUAGCCCCCGAUUUCCUAUUGUGAUCAUAGUCACGUUGUUUCUCACGGGAAACAUAGACAAGCAUAGAGAAGUACUCCAUUCUUCUCUUUUUAUCUGGGCUGAAUUUCUUUGGAAGUUAUAUAGAUUAUAGAUGAGAUGAGAACCUACUGUUUAGUCAUUGGCAAUAAUUUCUAGGUGUUAAUCUUAAGUCAAUAUGUCGUAUCUAUUUGUUUCAUGUCUGAUGUCUCUCAAGUUUUGAGAAUAUGACUGAUAGUAUGAGAACUAGCUGAACAUACCGCGCCUAUAGAACUUAAGUCAACAUAUCAAAACUUGCUAGUAUGUAACCUGUUCAACAUGUCAGCAUGAUCCCUAAAAAUUAAACAAGCCCCAAGGAAACAAGAGCAAAACCAGCAUUGCUAACCUAAUGAUAAUUGAGAGCUUUGCUCUGCAAGUACUUGGACAAAAAAUUCAUAACAGACCCAAAAUCAGCGUUGACCUGCAGUGGAGGAUAGGCAAAUUGGCAAGCCAAGUCCUUGAUACCCUUUGAAAUCAAUUUUGGACUGAGUAAACUUCAAACCAUGAGCAGUGCUCACCACCACUGUCCUAUCCUAUCAGUAAGCUAAAUAACCCAAGUAUUCCUCAGUUUAAACAAAGCAGAAGGAUCAAGUACUAAAUGUAGGAAUUUCAGAGAGAAAUGUAGGAAUUGACGCACAACUAGGUAAAGAUUCAGAGGGAUUUCCAUAAUAUUCAAAGAUGGCUUCAAAAAUGUUGAAUUAACACACAACUGUUCAAAAUCAUAACCAUUUUCUCAAUCAAUCAAGCAUUAAAUGAGUAUAUGGAUAUAUAUAACACAACUAGGUAAAGAGUCAAACAAAAAAUAUAUGCUUACAUAGAUUUCUGCAUCAUAUAGAAUAAAGGCUGCAACCAUUUCAAAUUUCAUCCUUACCUACAAGAGAAUCGAAAUUAAACUAAUCUACCAAAAAAUAUAUAUAAUUAGAUAGACAGAUAAAGAGAAACAUACAAACUAACUAGUAAAAAAUUAUCUAAAGAUGAUUAAUAACAUUAGAAGAUUCUAUUGGGGGUUUUAGAAGCAACAAAAAAAUCAACAAAACAAAAAUCUUAACCUUGCUAUAUAUUCUUACAAGUCAGAGGUAGUAGAACAUACUGCACAAGUACAAGUCAGUAAUUGAGAUUAAACAUGAUUAACAAGCUUCCUAGCUAGCUCGUUCGGAAAGGAGGACGAGGAGGUGGAGAACCCCAAAACACAACAGAGCUUUGAUAUAGAACUUUACUACACAUUGUAUAGGCUGGUGACUAAAAAUACAAAUUAAACUAUUCCAUAGUUGAAGAACCAGCAAAUUGAAUUUCUAUUUGUGAUCUAGCCAUGUAUAUGUUUCAGCAAAAGAAAUUUUAUAUAAAGAAAAAAACCACACACAGGACUAAGCACAACACGAAUUUGAAUGCACCAACAGAGCAAAACCAUACAUAAACUUCAAAAUGAGAAAGAAAAAAAAAAUGACCACUAAAUCAAUAUGGCUAGGAUGAAUCAGAAUCAAAUUGUACGCUGUUGAUCGUGAAUCCCAGGAAAUAGUGGUUUGGUCAAACUCUGCUAUGCAACAGAGCUAUCAAUGCCACAGUUUGACAACAUUUUGUCCCAAAUAGCGUAUUGCGGAACAACAGCGAUUUGUUCAAAUUACGCUAUGCUAUAGUGCUAUAGCCUCUAUUUAACAAAUUCAAAUCCAAAUCAUUGUCUACAUUAACAGAAGCAAGUGAAGGGUGUAAGACUCUACAAUUUCACCAAAAGAAUCACAAAAUUUGACAAUUUUAAAAAGCACAUACAAAAUUACAAACAAGAAACAAUGAUUAUUUCGUUUGAACAACGACAAAAAGGAAAAGAAAAAGGAAUCAAGUUUCAAUUCAACAGACUUUCCUUACACAUUCAUACAGUACAACACUACACUGGGUAGAAGAAAAAUGACACAUUAUCAGAAAAACAUCGUGAAAUUCCACUAUUUUGCACUUAUAGGUAAGCGAAAAUGAAAUAAACUACGUUUUUUCAUUUCCCUAACUUUCACCAAAAAUCUCAACAAUAGAAAAAGUCCUCAAAGAAUUAAAGGCAAAGAAAAGUAUCGGAGUCAAUGAAGCUCAAGAGCUUACACGACGUGUAAAAUUCUUUACAAGAUGAUAGAUAUUUCAGAAAUGCUUUAAAUAUAUUAACCAAAAACUGAUAUUUUAUCCAACGCAUUUUAAUUACUCCAAGAAAUUACAUUAACUCACUACAAUCCCCUAUCCAAGCAAACUCUAGGAGUAAGUUCAUCAAAAUGAGCAUUUAAUUGAGUCAAAACCUACAUCAUGUGUUACACUUGCCUUAGAUAGCCAUUCUCCAACCACUACUUACCUAUACUACACACUUCUUUGCAAUGACAAAAAGAUGACAGUGGAGAAAUUUGUGAGAAACAAAAAAGAGGAACAAAAUAACACAAAAACUCUCAUCUGGAAUUGAACAUUUUCAUCCAUCAAACUCGGAGGGAUCCCUGUCAGGCCAAUGAAGGAAUUUGAACCCUUGAAGGGAGGGUGGCAAGAAGCUCUGUGUUGCGGAAGGGUUGUCAGGAGUAUAUAUGUAUCCCUUCCCAUACCCAACUUCCUUCAUUAACUUGGUUGGUGCGUUCCUGAGAUGAAGAGGCACCCCCUCAUUCUGUCCAACGGAUUCCCUCACGGCCUUCUCAGCAGCUCCCAUUGCUCUAUAAACUGCUAUAGAUUUCGGAGCCAAAGCCAAGUAAGCAACACACUGUGCAAGAAUCACAUUACACUCAGGCAUUCCUAUAAAAUGACAAGCUUGAUAACACGAAACAGCUUGAUUAAGAGCUAAAGGAUCAGCCAAACCAACAUCCUCACUUGCAAACCGUACAAGCCUACGUGCAAUAUAAAGCGGCUCUUCACCUCCCUUUAACAUUCUUGCCAACCAAUAAAUCGCUGCAUCAGCAUCACUACCCCUCAUAGACUUAUGCAAUGCACUAAUCAAAUUAUAGUGUUCUUCCCCAGCUUUAUCAUAAGCAAGAUGCUUGCAUUGAAGCGCCUCCUUUGCAUCCUCAACACUAACACUAACAGCAACAUCCUGACAUUCUUCACUAUCAUGUUCCACUCGUGCAGCCGCAUUAACACCAGCAAUCUCCAACACAUUCAAAGCAACGCGAGCAUCACCGUCGCAAUUAUUAGCUACAAAAUCAACCACAUCCUCACCAACACUAACAUCAACUUUACAAGAACCAAAACCAAGACUUUUCACCAACCCUUUUUCCGUGUCAUUAACAGCACGUUUGAGAAGCAAAAUGAGGUGAUGUGGCUGAAGAGGGUUAAGAGUAAGAACACGGCAACGCGACAACAAUGGUGUAAUCAAAUGAAAAGAGGGGUUUUCAGUAGUAGCACCAACAAAAACAAUACUACCAUCUUCAAUAACAGGUAAAAAUGAAUCUUGUUGAGAUUUAUUAAACCUAUGAACUUCAUCAACAAACAAAACAGUAGUUUGAUUUGUUUUAACUCUAACUUUUCUAGCUUCAUCAACAGCUUCUCUAACAUCUUUAACACCGCUCGUAACCGCGGAUAAAGAUACAAAACGAUACAAAGGUGAAUCUUUUGUUGUUGAUGAUGAAUUAACAAUGGCUUUUGCAAUGGUGGUUUUACCUGUACCAGGUGGACCCCACAAAAGGAUUGAAGGUAGACGUUUGCGUUGAAUUGAUGAACGGAGAAUGGAGUUUGUUGAUAAGAGAUGAUCUUGUCCGACAACCUCGUCGAGUGUUCUGGGUCGGAGUCGUUCGUACAAUGGUUCAUGAGUUUGAGGUUGUUGUUUCAUGGAAGUUGGUUUGAAGAAGAAUGAAGGUUUGUUUUGUUGUGUUGGUGAUAGCUUCGUUCGUUUGUUUGGUUCUUCUGUUUGUUGUUGUUGUUGUUCUGCUUGAAUGGGUUGUUGUGGGGUUUGGAAGAAACGAUCGAGUUUGGGUUGAAAAGCAGAAGAAGGAGAAGAGGAAGGGGUGUGAAUGGUGGAAUUGGGGGGUUUAUGAGUAAGAAUCCAUUCAGUGGCUUUGACAGUGGAUUUACCACCAGUGGCAGCUAAGGCUUGAGCGGCUAACUCAUCAGGAAAACCCAUGCUCAGAAGCUGUUGCAUCUCCAUCUUUCUGAUGAUGAUGAUGAUUCUGUGUAUUCUUCUUCCAACAACUUAUUACAAACCAAACCAAAUCGUCUUCAUUCUUAGUAAGCUUUGUUUGGCUGUGUCACAUUUUAAGUUUAGCUUAUAGAUAGAUUAAGUUCAUAUUAUAAAUAUUAACUUACGAGGGUUCAAUUUUAUUAUCUACUUGCGAAAGUCAUUUAAUUGAUGAUUGAAUUGGCUUAUCAAAUCUAGCAAAAAGCAAAUAACUUAUUUUAUUUUAGAGGAGUAAAACCCAAAAUUAUACACCAUAAGUUUAUAUAUAUAAAGAGGCAUUUUUCAAUAAUCAUAAACAUAAACAUAAAUAAAUUGUGUUUGGGUACGCACUAAAACAUUUUUUUCAAUAAUAAAAUAAUUAAUAAUUUAAAGAAAAAUCUUUUUAUGUAUGUAUCAAAAAUAUAUUCAUUUAUGUUUGUGACCAUUGUUAAAUAUCUUUUAUAAGGUUUUUUCUUUAAAUAAUAUUUUUAUAAGUUACUUCCUUCGAUUUUAAAUAUAAACAAAAUCAAAAUAUAUUUGUCCAAAAUAAAGACCAAAUACUUUUUAACUCUUGUUUAUAUUUAAAAUUAUGUUUUUUUAUUCAAACAAAGUUUUAGUGUCUUCCUAUCUUUAUUCUUAUUCGACUUUUCGUAUCAUCAUUGCAUAUUUUAAUACUGUUUCGGGUUUUUUUCUUAAUCAAAUAGCUUUGGUUCUUUCUCUCUCUGAUAGACAGGUAGAGACAUGAAUCGUUACCCUUGCCAUGUCUUCAUAGACUUUAGGUGCAAGUCGGGGAUCAUAGCCAGCCGAUGUCAUUAGUAGAAGCCAGAUUGCCCAAUGUAAUCAGCUUCAAAUUCAAUCCUACAAAUUAUGAAAUAAAUUGGGUUGAGAACAGGCAUGAGCAAUGUAUUUAUGAAGACAAUUUCAACUAUCAGAAAGGAGCAUUCGACCAGAGUAUUUUAAUCCCAUGCUCCAAAUAAGAUGCAAAUCAAAAUGAACCAAAGGAGCAAUGUCAAAUCAUGGUUAGAUAGUUAUAACAUAAACUUCAAAAAUUGACAUUGAUACAUCCACAUACGAGAUAAGGACACAGAUCAUGAACCUAUAAGGCAUUGGCCAAACUAGUCCCCUACCCACACUAUCAAUGCAAUCAAAACUUUAUGGUCUUAUUUGUCCAUUUAAUUUAAUCAUUCUAGUUGGUGUUUCAACUAUUUUUCAAUGUUACUGUUAUAUGCAUGAUUUAGUGUCAUUUUAGAGUGUAUAGUAAUUGGAGGGUUUUUUAAGUCUGAAAUGCUGAGACCGAUACUAACUUAAUCUGACAUAUUUAGCCUGCUUGGAUUCCCUAUACUUCUUAUCUUCAUGUCAGUAUGGGCUAGCAGACCCUAUAUCCACCCACUCAUUCAAACAAUAUAACUGAGUUGGAAUGAUGAAUGAUCGAUUAAAGAAUGGUACUGGUUUUGUUUCUGAUGGGAACCAUAGCAAAAUAUCACAAUUUUGUUGCUCUAAUCCAAACUGAAAUUCAUGGAACAAUUUAUAUUAAAUAACUAGUGUUUUUAUUUUGUCAAGAUAUUUAUGUUUCAAGUAUAAAAUGUUUAAAAUAAACAUAAGAAAUAUUACUAUACACAUAAUUUGCUACAAACCAAUUAAUCAAAAAUGAACAUGAAGGAAAAUAGAAAAGCAGAUGAAAAUGAUGGAAAUGUGUGUAUUAUUGAUGAUAUAGGAAACAGUUAAAUAGUGUUUAUACUCUGCCAUUUGAGCAAAUUUUAGUUUAUUUCACGUUUAAAAAAAUAUAUAUCUUCAAUUUCAACCUUGUAAUUUGAAGAUUAUUUGGUUUUGAACCUUUGUGAAAUUUGAUUGUAUAAAAUAGAUAAUAUUAACACGAGGUAAACCGAAAUUUGAUGCACAUGAAAGAAAACAGAAAAGCAGAUGAAAUUGAUGAAAAUAUGUAUUAUUGAUUAUAAAGGAAGGAAUUAAAUAGUGUUUUACAGCAGCCUAUUUGAGCAAGUUUUGGUUUAUCACCUAAAAAAAAUCUAUUUGGAUUCUGGUCUUAUAAUUUGAAGAUUUUUUGGUUUUGGAUCUUUGGAAAUUUGAUUGUACAAUGUAGAUGAGAUGGCAGGGGGUAAACCAAAAUUUGUUAGGCGGCUGAAAUCAAUAAAACAUACACUUUAACGGGACGCUGAUUUUGAUUGUAGCUAAGAGUUAUAUUGAUUUUGCUAUAUGGUGGAGAAAUGUGAGUUUUUAAUUUUAUUUUUUUAUAAAUUUUCCGUUAACUAUAAUGUGUUUGGUUGUUUCAUGCCUUGGCCAUUUAUAUGCAACAUGAAACAACCAAAAACAUAUUAAUAGAAAAGUAGUUAAAAACUAACAUUUCUCCAUGAGACAGCAUAAUUACUAUAAUGCUUAACUCUAACGAAGCUCGGCGUCUCUUUAAAGUGUAACUUUUAUUGAUUUAAGGUGUCCCUAACCAGCAUUCUUAUGCCGAUUGGGUUUUAUCCCCAUUUAGAUUUGGUCAGGCCGCUGUGAAGACCAUCAAAGGGUGGAGUUUUUAGGAUUAUUAUUUGAGUAUUAGAGGAAAAUUAUGUUAGUGAAGCCAUAUUGGUGUAUUGAAGAGGAAGAGUGACAAAGGGUAAAAUGCAAUUCAACGCGAAGUUGCCUUGCCUUGCCUUCACUUACAUCUGCUUAUGAAAAUAUGCAAGAAGGUUGCCCUAGAGUUUGUAAGCAUGAGAGCAACCAAUUACUCUAGCAAGAAUAUCACUAGAAAGAGUGUAUUGAAACAAAGAAAGUAUGUUUUGGAAUGGACAAGAAGUUUAUUUUUGAAGCUUGAAACUGGUUUUUGGAACUGAUUUUAAAGUAUGUUUUGGAAAAUUCGAUUUCAUACGUCUGUUAGAUAAUAUAAAAGCCUCUUCUGCGAAUCACAAUGCUUUAGAACACCUUCGUGAAAAUUUGGUAACGCGACCAAAUUUUGCACUAUCCGCAAAAGUUACUACUGUUAUUAACAAUACAAUUGGUUAGAAAAAUUAGCUAAAACAACCAACCGGCAUUUAUACUAAUGGUUAGAAAACUAUUCAAAUGUAUUAUCACUAAAUCUUUGUUUGGUAUGUAAUAUUUGGAUUUUUCUUUCUUCGUUUUUAUGUUAUUAAAUGAGCAGUAUAGUGUGACACAAAUGAUAGAUACUUGAGUCUCUUAAUCAUUUAGUCUAGAAUCCAAUACUUAACCGGUGAAUAUGAAAAAAUGAUUAUUGGAUUUUGGUGGAAUUUUUUUUUUGAAAAUUUUGUAAGUAGCAAAUAAAUUUAAAAAAAAAAAAAAGACCAAAACAAAAAAUAAAUCUAGACAUUUGUCCCCUUAAACGCCACGUGGAGUUAAAAGAAUGAAAAGAGAUGAGGAAGUAAUGUUAUAUGUUACUGCUCGCUCCUUCCUUACUCAGUGACUGAAUAAUAAAGCAAGCAAUGAAUGAAAGCAACGCGAUAACCAGAAUCGGAACUUCACCAAUCAUUCCUCUUCCAAUUUCAACAACACACCCCCCAAAUCAAAUUCACACCCUACCAAAUCAAAAACAAAAACAAAAACAAAAACAAUGGAACAAAGCUAUCAGCACAAGCAUUCGUUCACGUCUCAGCAAACUCUGCCGCGAAGGUCAACCUCAUCUCGCUCUUCAUCUUCUCGAUUCUCUUCCUCGUCCUUCCACCGUCGUCUGGAACUCCGUCAUCAUCGGCUUCAUCUGCAACAACUUGCCUCAUCAAGCUCUUCUUUUAUACGCCAAAAUGAGAUCAAAUUCUUCUUGUUCUACUUUUGAUCCUUAUACAUUCUCUUCCACUCUUAAAGCUUGUGCUUUAACUAAAGAUAUUCUUACUGGAAAAGCUAUACAUUCUCAUUUUCUUCGUUCUCAUUCGAAUACUAAUACUGGUCCUAGUAGAAUUGUAUAUAACUCUUUGUUGAAUAUGUAUGCUUCUUGUCAACAUGAGUAUGCACUCAAUGUGUUUGAUGUUAUGCGUAGGAGAAAUGUUGUUGCUUGGAAUACUUUGAUUUUGUCGUUUGUUAAGAUGAAUCGUUAUCCUCAAGCGGUUGAGGCAUUUGCUAAUAUGAUUAAUCAAUCUGUUAUGCCUAGUCCGGUUACUUUUGUGAAUCUUUUUCCUGCUUUGUCGAAAUUGGGUGAUUCUAGAACUGUGAAGAUGUUUUAUGGGUUUAUGAGGAAAUUUGGUGAUCAGUAUGUUAGUGAUGUGUUUGUUGUAAGCUCUGCGAUACUUAUGUUUUCUGAUGUUGGUUGUAUGGAUUAUGCGCGAAUGGUUUUUGAUCGAUGUUUGAAUAAAAAUACUGAGAUUUGGAAUACUAUGAUUGUUGCGUAUGUUCAAAAUAAUUGCCCGGUUGAAGCGAUUGAUGUGUUUAUUCAAGCGUUGGAGUCGGAGGAGGGUGUAUGCGAUGAUGUAACUUUGCUCUCUGUUCUUACUGCUGUUUCACAGUUGCAGCAAAUCAAAUUGGCUGAACAGUUUCAUGCAUUUGUUAUAAAAAGUUUGCCGGGUUCGCUGAUUAUAAUUUUAAAUGCUGUAAUGGUUAUGUACUCAAGGUGUAAUCAUGUUGAUACUUCGUUGAAGGUUUUUGAUAAGAUGUUAGAAAGGGAUGCUGUUUCGUGGAAUACUAUAAUAUCUGCUUUUGUACAGAAUGGUUUUGAUGAGGAAGCGCUUAUGCUUGUGUGUGAAAUGCAGAAGCAAAAGUUUUUGAUUGAUUCUGUUACCGCAACUGCCCUUCUUUCUGCAGCUUCUAACCUUAGGAACUUGUAUGUUGGAAAGCAAACUCAUGCUUAUCUGAUUCGCCGUGGGAUACAGUUUGAGGGCAUGGAGAGUUAUUUGAUUGAUAUGUAUGCAAAAUCCGGCUCGAUUAGGACUGCUGAAUUGUUGUUUGAGCAGAACUGCUCAAGUGAUAGAGACCAGGCCACAUGGAAUGCUAUCAUUGCUGGUUAUACUCAGAAUGGGCUCAAUGAGAAAGCUAUUCUCCUUCUUAAACAGAUGUUGGUGCAAAACGUAAUACCAAAUGCAGUGACAUUGGCAUCCAUUCUUCCUGCUUGUAGUUCAAUGGGAAGCAUGGGAUUGGCUAGGCAACUUCAUGGAUUCUCCAUUCGUCGUUUCUUGGAGAAAAAUGUUUAUGUGGGAACUUCCUUAACUGACACGUAUUCCAAAUGUGGUGCAAUUAGUUACGCUGAAAAUGUCUUUUUGAGAACACCUGAGAAGAAUUCAGUCACAUACACCACAAUGAUGAUGUGCUAUGGUCAGCAUGGGAUGGGUAAGAGAGCUCUUACCUUGUAUGAUUCUAUGCUGAGAUCUGGCAUUAGGCCUGAUGCAGUUACUUUUGUUGCCAUCUUGUCUGCUUGUAAUUAUAGUGGAUUGGUUGACGAAGGCCUUCAAAUAUUUGAAUCUAUGGAGAAAGUACAUAAAAUCAAGCCCUCAAUAGAACAUUAUUGUUGUGUUGCAGACAUGUUAGGGAGGGUUGGGAGGGUGGUUGAAGCCUAUGAGUUUGUCAAGGGAUUGGGUGAGGAUGCUAACACCAUGGAAAUCUGGGGAUCUCUUCUUGGGUCUUGUAGAAAUCAUGGGCAUUUUGAAUUAGGAAAAGCUGUUGCUAAAAAAUUGCUGAAUAUGGGAAUGGAUAAAAGAAUGGCAGGAUAUCAUGUUCUGCUCUCGAAUAUUUAUGCUGAGGAAGGAGAGUGGGAAAAAGUUGAUAGAGUGAGAAAGCAGAUGAAAGAAAAAGGUCUGCACAAGGAAACGGGAUGUAGUUGGGUUGAGAUUGCUGGGUUUGUAAACUGCUUUGUAUCUAGAGAUGAGAAGCACCCUCAAAGUAGUGAAAUAUAUUAUAUGUUGGACAUGUUGACUCUAGACAUGAAGUAUGCAGGGUAUAAGCCACAAUAUAGCUUAAAUUUAAAUACGAUUUUGGAUUCGGAUGAAUGAAUUGAAUAAUUAUCACAAGUUAUUUCGAGAUGUGUUGGUUUCUUUGUAGUAGACAGUUGUCACGAAAGUGAGCUAGGCUCAUCGUUAAGAUAGUCACAGCCUCACAAGAUCUAUUAUAACUGAUAAUAGUUUCAUGACCUGCAUAAAUUUAUUCUUUGUACACCACAACAGCUGCUGGUUUGAAACUCUUACUCGGGGUUUUCAUUCAUUUGAAACAGUUUGUAAUUUGUUAACAAAACAAUCAAUCCAUGUAUAUUACCAUAGUGCAAUUGGUUACUUACAAAUUUGAUGAUACUUUCACCUCCAAUUCAUGAAACGGAAGUUAUACAUAGCUAUAUAUUUAAACGAAAAAGAUGGUUUCAUUUAUGAUUUAGAUGAUUCAUGAAUUUAAUUUUUUUUAUUGUAAAAAACCGCUAGAAGGAGGGUUGAACCUCCGACCUUGUGGUUAACAGCCACACGCUCUAACCAACUGAGCUAUUCCAGCAAUUCGUGAGGUUAAUGUUUUAUUUGAAAUUUAAUUUUGGCGAGACAUUAACAACAAAGGUAUGACGGUAAAAGAAAGAAAUAUAGUGUGCUUCCACUUAUUUAUUCCCUUCUACUACAUGCUAACUAACUAUGCUGAAUACAGGGAAGUGUCAUACAUAGUAUUCUAAUGUGUUUUAGGCGCUGAGUACAGAAGUGUCGUAGUACUCUAAUAAUGUGCUUGAGGCAUCGACGGUUAUCAACAGUAUUGCAACUAUGUCGGAUUUAUUAUUGAUGAUUGUAUUAAUUUUAAUGUGUUUUUUCACGGUUUAAGUUUCCUGCAUGUGUUAGGCAUGAGGUUAACCAAGUUGUCUAUUAUUUAGCUCAAUACUCUCUUCAUAAUCCGGACUAUAUAUGAAUUGAAGGGACUCCAUCUUAUAUUUCUGCAUUCUUGAAACUCAAUUGGGGUUGGCGGUUGGUUUGAAACAUUGGAGUUUAUGUUCGAUUGUCUGACCUUCAUUGAUUAAAUUAUCUUUAAUGUAAAAAGAAAAAAAAAAAAAAAAAAGAGAGAGAGAAGUGACAUUGUAUUCUCUCCAAACAUAAUUGAGUUUUUCUAUUUACACCCCAUGUUUUUCUAGUUACACCCAAAUUUUCUUAAAAAAAAUUUAUAAUAUCAAAAUUGCCCUUUUAUAUAAAUUUUCUUAAAACCCUAAUUUUAUUCAUUGUCAGUGAGUUUCACCUUCUUUCCCCCCAUAAAGCGAUCGAUCAAACAAUUUGAUGUUCAAUAUCAAUCUCCAUGAAAAUUAAAGGGUGAAUCAAAAUAUUUUUCAUCCAUACUCAAUUGGAUAUAAGUAAGUGAAUUUCUUCUUCUAUUUGCUAGUUUCAAUUUUUUUCCUUCAACUGCACUGAUGCACUGUAAGAUUAUGGUUUUAAUUUACAUUGGCAAGGUUAACUUAAAUUCAGUUUAAGUAGGUUCAUGUAAACUAAGUUUACAUGAACCUACUUAAACUGAGUUUACAUGAACAUACUUAAACUGAGUUUACAUGAACCUACUUAAACUGAGUUUACAAAAUUGCAGAACUGUGACUCGCAGAACAAGGAAAACACAAAAUCAGAACUGAGAACCCAUAACAAGAAAAACACAAUUGAUUGAAGAACAACACUUGCUAACCUGAUUUGCUUCGAAUUUUCUUUGAAAUCAUGAAUGGACGUGAGAAAGUAUGGUUUUGAAAAUCUUCGCAGAACACAAUCGAUCUGUUGGAGAAUUAUGGUUUUGGAAGAAGGGUUUUGGGGUGUAACCAAAAAAGAAGGAAUAGGCUUUUUGAAAAUCAAAUUUUAUAAAAGGAUAAUCUUGUCAUUUUGGGGUGCAACCAUGAUUAACUAGGGUGCAAGUAGAAAAACUCAACAUAAUUAAAGUAUCUACACAAUAUAGAAUUUGGACAUAUAAGUGAUUCAAUACCCGCUGAGUGAUACGGAUUGAGUUUUUUUUUUAUCUUAAAAAACAAUUUUGUUUUUAAGAAAAUUUUAAGAACUAAUUUUUGUUUGUUUACUAUCAUAAAACUUUAUUUUAAUUUUAAAUUAGAAUCUCUUACACUCAAGUUUCUUGUUUUUAGAUGAAAAAAAAAUAGAUUUUGGAAAAGCUAAUAAGAAUAGCUUUUAUUUUUAAGAUUAAAAAAAAUAAAUUUACCAAAAUAAUUUUUAUUUUUAAAUCUAAAACAAAUACCAUUAAAAUUGACUUUGAAGCACGCAAGAAUAUUUGUUAUUAUUAUCCUUUAAAGUUGACAUUGAAAAACUUUCGACUUAGUGGAUUGAAAUUAUUUAGAUGUGAUUAUGAAGAAGAUGAAUUUUAUAGUAUGAAAAUUGUUUUUUUGACAUAGAAAACUUCAUAAAGACACAAGUAAAAUACGUUAAUGCCUCUAGCGGUAGUUAACUACCGUUGGUAGAACCACUGGCAGUUAACAGCCGUUGGGGCUCAGCGGUAGUUAACUGUCGUUCUUUUUUCCCCCAAAACCAGAAAAGCCCUACCUCCUAUUCACUCAUCACCUUACAUCAUCUCCAUACCAUACCUCAAAAAAAUCUCAUUUCAAAAAUUGUGUCAAAAUCUUGGUUCUAACUCAUUGUUGAUCGAUUGCUAGAACGUUUCCACGCACAAUAUGCAUCAAAGAACAUGUAUUUCAACGUUAAAAUCCAUUACAUUUGAUUGAUUUUUCUGGUUUCUUUUUUUUGUACUGUCACGAGCUGUAGCGGCAAUUAACUACCGCUGGGUGUGAGCGGCUGUUAACUGCCGCUGGUAACUUAGAGAUUUUUUCAAAACUUCAUUUGGCAGUUCUACUGCCAAAAAAAAAAAAUCACAAUAUUUUUUUCUUUUGUUUUUUUGGUUUGUUUAUGUUAUUAGAUACAUGUUUACUAAUUAGUUUACAAAUAAUAUGUUGUUUAUUUAUAGAUAUGGUUGAGAAUGUGGAUGAUCCGGGUGAUCGAAAACCUAGUGUUGUCGAUUCCGUUAAGGUUGAAGCUCCCAUUAAGGUCGAAGCUUCCGUGAAGGUUGAAGCUUCCGUUAAAGUAGAGGCUUCAAGCGUCAAUUCCGAUGUGUGUAAACUUCGUGACAACGAAGUGGACACGGGUCAUUUCUUUUCGACACGAGAUACAUGAAAAGAUAAAGAGGAAUUGAUCGGUUGGGUCCGUCGACAAGCAAAUAGGGCUGGAUUUACGGUUAUCAUUAGAAGAUCUUGUGAAAGUAGAAAUGAUAUGUUGGAGUUGGUUUGUGAACGGAGCGGCGAUCACAAAUUACCGAAGACAAAAGUGAAGCAUGAAGCAACGGGAUCAAGAAAAUAUGGGUGUUUGUUCAAGGUGCGUGGAUAUGUCGUGAGGGAAAAAAUGCUUGGAAAUUGGCUAUUCUUAAUGGCGUUCACAACCAUGAGAUGGUGCGGUAUGUAGCAGGCCACCUUCUUGCCGGAAGAUUAAUGGAGGACGACAAGAAGAUUGUACAUGAUUUGACCGAUUCUUCGGUGAAAUUAUUUUGACUAAUUUGAAGAAGAAAGGGAAAGAGUCCAUCACAAAUAUCAAGCAAGUCUACAAUGAACGUCACAAAUUCAAAAAGGCAAAAAGGGGUGACUUGACGGAGAUGCAAUAUCUAAUCUCAAAGUUGGAAGAUAAUGGAUAUGUUCAUUACGUAAGAGAAAAACCGGAAAGUCAAACCGUUCAAGACAUAUUUUGGACUCAUCCAACAUCGGUAAAGUUGUUUAACACUUUUUCGACUGUUUUGAUAAUGGAUUCCACGUACAAAACCAACUUGUAUAGAAUGUCAUUAUUUGAAAUAGUUGGAGUCACCUCAACCUAUUUGACAUAUUCGGUUUGUUCUGCAUUUAUGACGUCGGAGAAGGAGGACAACUUUACUUGGGCUUUGCAAAUGUUGCUUAAACUUCUUGAACCAAAUAGUGAUAUGCCUAAGGUGGUAGUGAACGACAGAGACCCGAGUAUGAUGAAGGCCGUAGAAAAUGUUCUCCCCGAUAAUAGUGCAAUACUUUGUUAUUUCCAUGUUGGCAAAAAUGUUAGAUCAAGAAUCAUCACCGAUUGCAAAGCUAAACAAAAUGUUGUUGUGGUGGAUGGGUAAAAGAAGAUUGUCGACGAGGAGAGUCAUAGUAAGUUAGUUGAUAUCAUAUUUGAUGCAUGAGAAAAGAUGUCACUUUGUACUCCGGGUUGGGGGAUCACAUGUCUAGACAAGCCAUGAACUUUAUUUUUGUGGAAGAAGCGCGUGCUAGGAAAACCUUGUGCAUCGAGAAGAAAACUUGUGGUUGUGUUCAAAGGACGUCGUAUGGCCUACCAUGUGCAUGCUUCAUUGCUAUGAAAAUCGGUCACAACAAGCCCAUUCGAUUGGAUGAGAUACACCCGCAUUGACAUAAGUUAUAUAUGGGUGAAGAAAAAAGUAAUGAAGAUUUGUUUUUGGUCGUGGAGGGGUGGCGUGAUAUCCAAGAACGUCUCGAAAGAGUUCUGUUCCAAAUGAAACUAGAAAUCAAAGAGGGUAUGCGGUUGUUAGUGUUUCCGGAGAUCACAGUGUUGUCACCACCUCCAAAAAAGGUGUCAACCAAAGGAGCUCCCAAAAAAAUCAAAACCACACGUAGGAUCACAUCUAAGUGGGAGACUUUGAUUCUCAACAUCCGGAAAGUCAAUCUUCACCACGAAAAAAUCUUCACAACCUAAAAGAAAAGGUGCUCACAUUGGCAUUUCUCCGGUUCCUAAGCCUAGCUUGGUUUCAAGAAAUUACGAUUCAUCGAAUCCUAUGUAUUACAUGCCAAAAUUCAUGAGACCAUACAUUGAGGGAAUUGUGGAUGUUAUUGGUGACAGACAUUGUGGGUUUAGGGCUAUUGCCGAACGCGUGGGUUUGACGGAAGAAAGUCAUGUUAUGGUGCGGAGAGCACUUGUUAAAGAGUUGAAAGAGCAUACGAACAAAUACAUCGAGGUAUAUGCGAGCGCGGACCGUUACAAGUACAUUUUGGAUGGAUUGCAUCCUCCCAAAAAUCCUAGUAGCUUUGCACCUCUCGACAAAUGGUUGACAUUGUCGGAUAUGGAACACAUCGUUGCAUCUUGUUACAAUAGGCCGGUGGUGGAGAUGACUACCCUUGAUUUUAGAGUCUCCGAGACUUUUUUCCCACUUAGAGGUGCGCCUCCGGUUAAUCCGAAAAGCAACAUGUUUUGCCUUGGUUUAAUCCCAAAUCAUUUUGUCAUUCUUUCAUUGAAAGAUGGUUGUCCACUACCUCCAUCAUCCACGGAGUGGAGAAAUCAUAGGAGUGAUGAGGCAAAAACAUGGGAUUAUGAAUUCUUGGAUCAACACGAUCGUUUCCAAGCACUCAUGGAGAUUGAGGACAAAGAGAGACCGGUUCCACCAAAAAAACCAACAAAUGAAGACAAUCCAAUUAUGUUUGAUGACACUCCGGUUAAAGGAAACGAAGAAUUUGAAGAUGUUCUGGAACAUUUAGAUGAUUUGCUUUUCUUAGAUGAAAUAUGACACUUUUUGGUCGGUGUUAAUCUAUUUUUUGGUCGAUACGCAUCGACGUAUUUUUUGGGAUAUGUAAUGUAAUGACCAAUUUUUUGGGUGAUAUGUAACCAACCUUUAACUAAUUAUAUAUAUAUAUAUAUAUAUAUAUAUAUAUAUAUAUAUAUUUGAGUUUCGCAUUUAUUAGUAAUUAAUGUACAUUACGUGUAAUGUGUUGCAUAAUGUGGAAAAUUUGACGGAUUUCAAACAAUUGUGAAACAUCAACGCAUUAUCGGUUUUGUGUAAUGUUACCGAAUAAUUGAUAACCUAUGAAAGGUCGAUGUUUGUGAUUGCUGGAUGUUGUUGUUUCGGUUUGAUUUCCUCCAGAAUUGACGUUUAAAAUUAUAGGUAAAACAAGACAAAUUUCCUGGGCUGGUUCUGUUAACUGGUGUGAACGGCAGUUAACUGUCGCUGGGGGAAAUUAUGUAAAUUACUUGUGUCAAUAGGAAGUUUCCCAUGUCAGAAAAGCAAUUUUCUUACGGUAUUGUGGCGAAAUGGAUCAUGUAAUGUGUAGCAUAUAUGCUUGUCAAUGGUAGCCCUCCCAACCGAUGAAUUCAAUUUGAAAAGGGACCAGCGAUAAGGAGACCUCUAUCUCCUUUUCUUUUGUUGAUUGUCGUAGAAGGAUUGGAUGUUAUGCUAAAUGCAACCAAGGAGGUUGGUCUGUUAUCUGGUUAUAAAUCGGUCAAUCAAAGAAAGUUUGUGUUUUUGAUAUACAAUUUGUGGCCGAUACAUUGAUUUUGGAAGAGAAAGUUGGGCAAACCUCAUAACUCUGAAGACUAAACUUAUUCUUUUUGAGGUAAUAUAAGGUCUCAAAGUAUUUAUAUAUAUAUAUAUAUAUAUAUAUUUUUUUUUUUGGUCUAGACUCAAAGUAUAUAUUUAAAGAUACAUAUUUAAGAGGUAAUAUAAGGCUAAAAAUAUAUGAGGGUCAAAUUAACUACUAGAUACAUAUUUAAAAAUCAAAAUGACUCAUAAAAGAUACGUUUAAGUUUAUUUUUGUAAUUUAAUGUAUAUAAAGACUAAAAAGAUAAAACAACACCUCACACAUUUAAAAUUUUACAAACAAUUCAUUCAUCACAUCGGUUGGUUCUACUAGAGUAUUAUUACUUUUCAUUUUUUGAAACACUACACAUUGAAAUGCAUAACAAUUACUAUAAUGAAGUGUUAAAUUACAUACUACAUUGUAUAUAUUUGAACAAGUUCAAAAUGUUAGUCCGGGCACCAACCUCUACACCAACAUGAAUAGAUCCGUCCCUAACCAAAUCUAAAACAAAUCUUAUUAAAGUAAAAAAUAUCCGACAUAGAUUUUAAAUUGUUGUUGUGCAUUUUAUACCUUUACUGUGGAAACUUGGUGUCCGUCAUGAGAACUGAUUAAUUUGAUUGAGGGACCAAUCUUG